CACAAGAGGAGUUUACAUCUUCAUUCUGUGUACGAGUGUAAUAAGGUAGGAUUGAUAGUAAUUCUCCUUGCCUUUUGCAUGAGAAAUUGAGGAUUCAACCGUCGUUACAUACGUUGAUGCAUGCAUGAUUUGCUGCUGCACAUGCUUUGAAAAUACACGAUUCAAGUGCUGGUAUGAUAAGUGGUACUGGCCACUGUUUUGGGGGCCUUAUUCAUUCACGUGUCGUGCUGCCGACGCAUACGUCCAUCACGAGUUCACCUUGGAGCAGCUGAGCCUGAUCUGGCCCUGCGUCCCGGUGAGCGGCGCGAUGUUUCCCAUCUUGAUCAUGGCCGUCGUGAAGGCGCUGCUGAAGGCCGCCGCGUUGGACGCAAAGUUGCGGACAGUGUUGUCGGUGGUGUCGUUGUUGAAGAGCACCUGGUCCGAGUGCAGGAGCCCUUUCUGUGACAGGAGGUUGGUGUAGUAGGCGUUGUCGAACGCGUUGGGCGUCGUCGUGUCCAGGUUCGCCAGGUUGGUGUUGCCGCCGGACUGGGGGCAGUUGGCCUUGAGAGACGUCGCGAAGGCAGUGUUGAUGUUGGUGUCACCGCCGUAGAUCCGAGUCCGGAAGUUGGAGCACUGGGCCUUCCCGAUGGUGUGCGCGCCUGAGAGCGCGACCAUGUCGACCGUGUUAAGGUUCUUCUUGAGGAACGCGGCCUCGAGCUGUGACCGGCUAGAGCUCGGGCCAGGGAGGUCACUGUUCGCCAGCGAGGCACUUGCGGUGGUGGAGUCCCGUCUCCCCAGCGGGACAGUCCACGAUGGCCCUCCAAGCUGUAUGUGAAAGAUAGCAGACCAAGUAGGAAAUUAAGUAUGUACUAAAUCAGCGACAAUUUAUAUGAAUCGGAGGGGAUAUAUGUUCUAUCCUUCAGGUAGCAUCGAUCAUGUAAAUGAGUGUAGUACUAAGAUGUUCUUACAGCGACAACGGAGUCGCGGGCGGCGACGGUGAGGAUGUCGGCGCAGGAGACGGUCUGCUUGCAUAUACUCUCCAGCUGGGUCUUGAUGUUGUCGAUGACGCCGAAGCCCCUCAGCGACCCCACGUUCGGACCCGCGUUUUGUUCCAUGCCAGACAGAAGAACAGAUGCGUCACAGCCCUGUAGCCAACAUAAACGUAUUAGGUCGGAAUAUAAAUUUUGUUAAAUCCGGGAGUUCAAGAAAGUUGGUUAAGGGAAAAAGAGCUGAUAUAUUAUGUGAAACUUGCUUGGACAAAGCAGUCGUGGAAGUGCAGCCUGAGCAGGGAGGCGCCCAUGCGGGGGUCGCUGCUCACGGCGGCCGCCACGCCGCUCUUGAUGGUGGCCAGAGCCCUGGGGCACGACGUGUCGUAGAACGUCGACGACAGCUGCCCGGACGCCGCCGUGGCCAGAGCCACGAGCACCACCAGAGAAAUGCGAGAGGCAGAACCCAUGGCCAUGGUUAGCUACCUAGCUACAAGCCCAGAGCUAUGCGUGCUACCUGCACUUGUUAUCUGGUUGUGGCUGUGGCUGUGGCUGUGGCUUGCAAGAUAACGCAGUAUUUCAUGCAUAUUUAUAGGGAAAAUUUGAGCUCACGUGCAGCUGCACAUCAGUCCCCGUCUCCCAGUUGGGAGAAAGCAUCCAAAUUUUAUGUCUGAUUAGUCUAGCAAGCAUCCAAAACAGAUGGUCGAUUGGUCUAUGAUGGCUGACGAUCGACGUCGACCCGGCAUCCACGAUCUGCCCAGCGCCGUCGUCUGGCCAGCUAGAUGUUGGAUAGGGAAUACGGGUACUGACAAACCCGCCGAUUUUUUAGAAGGGUCAGACGCUUGCAUCCAAGUGUGGCAACCUCCAGCUUAAGCGCUUAAAUCGCUACGGCCAACACCGGCCCUACAUAUUUUCCCCCGGCAAUAGGGCAUAUCAUGUACUCGAAUAAUUUCCCGUGAUCUGCCUUGGCCUUAUCAUGUAUCCGUUAGGUGCCCGUGGGGGAGAGAAACGUAUAUCUGUGAAUCAAUAAUGGCAUACAGCAUCUCAUAAUAAUGUUCAUUGUUUUUGAUAUAGCUUACCACUGUUGCCAAAUGGUUCAUCUCAUAAUAAUGGAGUAAUAUAUUCUUCAUCAUUUUUUUAGGUAUAGCUAUGGUCGUGAACCUGCUUUGAGGGAAUAUAAGAUUGUUAGGCUUUUCAAUUGUAAAUAAACUUAACAUGCUUUUUUUGUCAAGUGACUCCGGGCCGGCAAAACAAGUGUUAUUGCGUCAUAGGCUCAUAGCCCCGCUACAUGAGCAUUUCGUCCUACGAUCAGGCCCAGCUGAAGAGCAACAGAUGUUUUAUAAGAGGUUUUGAAUCAUCGAUCACGUCAAAAGAAUAACCUUACACGAUACCAUCGCCUUUAAAUUCAUGAUGUGUCUCCACUCCCGCAACUAACCUGCGGGUAAUUAAACCCCAACACAAAUUUCACUUUGCACGGUAAAAGAGCUAACAUGCACUCUACUAUCGGAGUAAACAGGAGCAUACGUCCACAUGCACCAUACAUAGGUUCAUCUCCAACUACAUGGAACGAGCUCCAUGGAUGCUAUUGCAGAUGGUGAUACAGCCCGAGCCUGAAGCUACGCAUGGACGCACCAUUUGACCUAGCUAAUACUCAUUUCGUUCCAAAAUGAGUGUCUCAACUUUAUAUUAUUAUAGUAUAAAGUUAUAUUAAGUUUGAGGCACUUAUUUUGAGACGGAGUGAGUAGUAAGGAGUCCGCUUCUGUCCAAGUUAAUUCAGCCUCGCUUUGACCGCAGCGCAUCAUCUUGCGCACAGGUUGUGUUCGAUGAAAGUGACACGAUGCGAUUCAGCAGUGGCAGUUUCUUUCAUGCUCUGUACUACAGUUGAGAGGGACUUGGCUCAUACGCAGGCCUGCGAGGAAACAGUUUGGGUCAAAUCAUCCUCUAGCCGCACGCCAUUUGGGCUUCUUCUGUUCCCUUGGUGUUGUUGUUGGGUGCGUCUAAAUGUCGCCUACUACAUGCGACUCACCUCCAGCAUUCUAUAUGGGCCCGCCCAGCAGCAUGAGGCCUUGAGGCGUGCCUAGUUCGAGCGCACAAGUCUCACAAUCACUUUCGCUCAAAAACAAACGAGCAGCACGUUAAGUCACAAUAAAAAAUGUUACAAUUUUUAUCUAAAAUAACUUAAGGCACAAUUUUAUUUCUAUUUUUCUGUCUUUUUUUCAAACACAAUACAACACAGAUGUUCCGGUAAGUGUGUCUGAGUAAAUGAAAAACUGACCAAAAGUGGUUGGCGGGUCCCAGCCACUUUCCUCACAUAUUACAAAUACGGGCAGUUUUGCAGGCACAAUACAUCUGAUAUACAAGGACGUGGGCCAGCACUAACACGAAUCGCGGAGUAAACGGCCGGUCUAGGAUCUACCAGUACAUGACGGAACCGCGCAAUAUGACUUUGCAGGCAUAUCAUGUACUCGAAUAAUUUUCCAUGGUCUGCCUUGGCCUUAUCAUGUAUCCGUUAAGUGCCUCAGGGAGAGAGAAACAUAUAUCUGCGAAUCAAUAAUGGCAUACAACAUCUCAUAAUAAUGUUCAUUGUUUUAUUUUGAUAUAGCUUACCACUCUUGCCAAGUGGUUCACCACGUAAUAAUGGAGUAAUAUAUUCUUCAUAAUUGUUUUUUAGGUACAGGUGUGGUGGUAAACCUGCUGUGAGGGAAUAUAAGAUUGUCAGGCUUUUCAAUUGUAAACAAACUUAACAUGCUUUUUUGUCAAGCGACUCCGGACCGGCAAACCUGUGUUAUGCGUCGUAGCUAGGCUCAUAGCCCCGCUACACCAGCAUUUCGUCCUCCUAUCAUGCCUAACUAAAGAGCAACAGAUGUUUUAUAAGAGGUUUUGAAUCAUCACGUCAAAAGAAUACCCUUACGGGAGAGGAUACCUUCGCCUUUAAAUUCAUGAUGUGUCUCCUCUCCCGCAACUACCAUGGGUAAUUAAACCCAACACAAAUUUUCACUUUGCACCAUAAAAGAGCUAACGUGUACUCUACUACGGGAGUACACAGGAACAUACGUCCACACGCACGAUCCAUACAUUGGUUCAUCUCCAAUUGGAUGGAACGAGCUCCAUGCAUGCUAUUGCAGAUGGGGAUACAGCCCGGAGCUAUGCAUGGAUGCACCGUUUCGCCUAACUAACGUAGGGAGUCCGCUUCUGUUCAAGGCAAUUCAGCAUCAAUUUGACCACAGCGCCGUCAUCUUGCGCACAGUCGUGUUUCAAUGAAAGUGACACGAUUCCAUUCAGCAGUGUGACAGUUUCUUUCAUGCUCUGUAUUGCAGUAGAGGGGGUUGACCUUCUUUUCGAAAAAAAGAAAAGUAGAAGGGCACUCGGUUCGACGCAUGCCUGCGACGAAACAGUUUGGGCCAAAUCAUUCUCUAGCUGCACUUGGGCUUCUUCCGUCUGCUGGGUGUUGUUGUUGGGUGCGUCCAAAUGUCGCCUAACAUGCGACUCGCCUCCAGCGUUCUACACGGGGCGGCCCCAGCAUGAGGCCUUGAGGCGUGUGUAGUUCCAGCGCACAAGCCUCACGUUCGCUUUCGCUAAAAAACAAACGAACAGCACAUUAAGUCACAAUAAAAAAAGUCCCAUCAAAACAAAAAAAGUCACAAUAAAAAAGUUACAAUUUUUAUCUAAAAGAACUUAAGGCACAAUGUUAUUUCUAUUUUUCUGUCUUUUCUCAAACAAAAUGCAACAGAUGCUCACAUGUUAUUUCUGUACUUUCAGAAAUGCCAUUCUGACCAGCCGCUAAUGGAGUGUAGUGCCAAGUGCGAGAGCAUAAUGUUUUUAUUGCAUAGUAAUUUUAAUCUCCUAGGCCUACUAGUCCAUUCUGACGAACGAACAAGUGAUUACAAAUUGACUUUUGAUCAAUGAAAUGCAUGCAUGUCUGCCCUUUUAUCGCAUUGACCCUUUUAUCUGGAGGUUGGGUAUAACAUUUUCCAGUUGUAUCGCGUUGACCCUUUUAUUGAAAAAAGAGAGUAUGAGACAUGGCAAUCAAUUGCAAUCACGAUUAAACUGUAAUAAAAUAAAGACAAUAACUUUAGAAGCACCACGUUUAAUGCCUCUAUCAUGUAAAACUGACAUUGUGAUUGUUAUGUGGCUAUGUGUGGCUAUUUAGCUAGUACUACCUCUAAGCGAUGAAUUGAUUAAUUAAUAAUCACUAGCAAAAGAGCCUGUACGUUGCAAUUGGAGAAAAAUUGCACACGCUCUUAACCCCGUAACCAUCAUUCAAGACCACAAUAGGUCCACGUCGUUUUUUUAGGGGGGGGGGGGGCAUCACAUUUGUUCUGCCGCUUAUCCUCCUUCUCAACCUCGCUGGCGGUGCGCUCAAGGUUCACACAAACCAAAAUGUGUUUGAAUGUGGUUUAGUCCUAAGAUCUCUCGUGCACGCGCGGUGAGAAAUCUUUUGUUUUUUUCCUCUACAUCAACACCAUAGCCUCUCCGAUGAAGUGUGAGUACCUCAGACCUUCGGGUCCAUAGUUAUUAGCUAGAUGGCUUCUUCUCUCUUUUUGGAUCUCAAUACAAUGUUCUCCCCCUCUCUUAUGGAGAUCUAUUCGAUGUAAUCUUCUCUUUGCGGCGUGUUUGUUGAGACCGAUGAAUUGUGGGUUUAUGAUCAAGAUUACCUAUGACCAAUAUUUGAAUCUUCUCUGAAUUCUUUUAUGUAUGAUUGGUUAUCUUUGCAAGUCUCUUCGAAUUAUCAGUUUGGUUUGGCCUACUAGAUUGAUCUUUCUUGCAAUGGGAGAAGUGCUUAGCUUUGGGUUCAAUCUUGCGGUGUACUUUCCCAAUGACAGUAGGGGCAGCAAGGCACGUAUUGUAUUGUUGCCAUCGAGGAUAACAAGAUGGGGUUUUCAUCAUAUUGCAUGAGUUUAUCCCUCUACAUCAUGUCACCUUGCUUAAGGCGUUACUCUGUUUUCAUGAACUUAAUACUCUAGAUGCAUGCUGGAUAGCGGUCGAUGAGUGGAGUAAUAGUAGUAGAUGCAGGCAGGAGUCGGUCUACUUGUCUUGGACGUGAUGCCUAUAUACAUGAUCAUACCUAGUAUUCUCAUAACUAUGCUCAAUUCUGUCAAUUGCUCAAUAGUAAUUCGUUCACCCACCGUAAAAUACUUAUUCUCUUGAGAGAAGCCACUAGUGAAACCUAUGGCCCCCGGGUCUAUCUUCAUCAUAUUAAUCUUCCAAUACUUAGUUAUUUCCUUUGCUUUUUUACUUUGCUUUUAUUUUACUUUGCAUCUUUAUCACAAAAAUACCAAAAAUAGUAUCUUAUCAUAUCUAUCAGAUCUCACUCUCGUAAGUGACCGUGAAGGGACUGACAACCCCUUAUCGCGUUGGUUGCGAGGAGUUAUUUGCUUUGUGCAGGUACGAGGGACUCGCGCGUAGCCUCCUACUGGAUUGAUACCUUGGUUCCCAAAAACUUAGGGAAAUACUUACGCCACUUUGCUGCAUCAUCCUUUCCUCUUCAAGGAAAUCCAACGCAGUGCUCAAGAGGUAGCAAGAAGAAUUUCUGGCGCCGUUGCCGGGGAGUCUACGCAAAAGUCAACAUACCAAGUACCCAUCACAACCCUUAUCUCCCGCAUUACAUUAUUUGUCAUUUGCCUCUCGUUUUCCUCUCCCCCACUUCACCCUUGUCGUUUUAUUCGCCCUCUCUCUCUCUAUCCUCCCUCUCUUUCUCUAUUUACCUCUUUUUGCCCGCUUGCUUUUUGUUUGCUUGUGUGUUGAAUUGCUUGCUUGUCACGAUGGCUCAAGAUAACACUAAAUUGUGUGACUUUACCAAUACCAACAACAAUGAUUUUAUUAGCACUCCGAUUGCUCCUCUUACCGAUGCUGAAUCUUGUGAAAUUAAUGCCGCUUUGCUGAAUCUUGUUAUGAAAGAUCCGUUUUCCGGCCUUCCUAGUGAAGAUGUCGCUAGCCAUCUAAAUAUCUUCGUUGAUUUGUGUGAUAUGCAAAAGAAGAAAGAUGUGGAUAAUGAUAUUGUUAAAUUGAAGCUAUUUCCUUUUUCGCUUAGAGAUCGUGCUAAAGCUUAGUUUUCGUCUUUGCCUAAAAAUAGUAUUGAUUCUUGGAACAAGUGCAAAGAUGCUUUUAUCUCUAAGUAUUUUCCUCCCGCUAAGAUCAUCUCGCUUAGAAACGAUAUUAUGAAUUUUAAGCAACUUGAUCAUGAACAUGUUGCACAAGCUUGGGAGAGGAUGAAAUUAAUGAUACGUAAUUGCCCUACUCAUGGUUUGAAUUUGUGGAUGAUUAUACAAUUUUUUUAUGCCAGAUUGAAUUUUGCUUCUAGAAAUCUUUUAGAUUCGGCCGCGGGAGGCACUUUUAUGGAAAUCAAUUUAGGAUAAGCUACUAAACUCCUAGAUAAUAUUAUGGUUAAUUAUUCCCAAUGGCAUACUGAAAGAUCUACUAAUAAAAAGGUGCAUGCGAUAGAAGAAAUUAAUGUUUUGAGUGGAAAGAUGGAUGAACUUAUGAAAUUAUUUGCUAGUAAAAGUGUUUCUUCUGAUCCUAAUGAUAUGCCCUUGUCUACUUUGAUUGAGAAUAAUAAUGAAUCUAUGGAUGUGAAUUUUGUUGGUAGGAACAAUUUUGGUAACAACGCGUAUAGAGGAAAUUUUAAUCCCAGGCCUUAUCCUAGUAAUUCCUAUAGCAAUUCUUAUAUAAAUUAUAAUAAGAUGCCCUCUGAUUUUGAAUCUAAUAUUAAAGAAAUUAUUACUUUGCAAAAGAAUUUCAAUGCUUUGAUUGAAGAAAAAUUGCUUAAGAUUGAUGAGUUGGCUAGGAACGUUGAUAGAAUUUCUCUUGAUGUUGAUUCUUUGAAACUUAGAUCUAUUCCUCCUAAGCAUCAUAUCAAUGAGUCUCUCAAAGCUAUGAGAAUUUCCAUUGAUGAGUGCAAAGAAAGAACCGCUAGGAUGCGUGCUAAGAAAGAUGCCUUUAUAAGAGCGUGUUCUUCUAGUUCCUAUGAAAAUAAAGAUGAAGAUCUAAAAGUUAUUGAUGUGUCCCCUAUUAAAUCUUUGUUUUGCAAUAUGAAUCUUGAUAAUGAUGGGACUGAAUAUGAUCCACCUUUACCUAGAAGGCAUUCCAAAAAUUCGGAGUUUUUAGAUCUUAAUGCUAAAUUUGAUAAAAGUGGGAUUGAAGAAAUUAAAACCCUAGAUGUUGCUAAACCCAUUAUUUUGGAUUUAAAGGAAUUUAAUUAUGAAAAUUGCUCUUUGAUUGAUUGUAUUUCCUUGUUGCAAUCUGUGCUAAAUUCUCCUCAUGCUUAUAGUCAAAACAAAGCGUUUACUAAACAUAUUGUUGAUGCCUUGAUGCAAUCUUAUGAAGAAAAACUUGAGUUGAAAGUUUCUAUCCCUAGAAAACUUUAUGAUGAGUGGGAACAAACUAUUAAAAUUAAGAUUAAAGAUCAUGAGUUCUAUGCUUUAUGUGAUUUGGGUGCUAGUGUUUGCACGAUUCCAAAGACUUUGUGUGAUUUGUUAGAUUUCCGUGAUUUUGAUGAUUGCUCUUUAAACUUGCACCUUGCGGAUUCCACUAUUAAGAAACCUAUGGGAAGAAUUGAUGAUGUUCUAAUUGUCGCAAAUAGGAAUUAUGUGCCCGUAGAUUUUAUUGUUCUUGUCAUAGAUUGCAAUCCUUCAUGUCCUAUUAUUCCGUGUAGACCUUUCCUUAGAACGAUUGGUGCGAUUAUUGAUAUGAAGGAAGGAAAUAUUAGAUUCCAAUUUCCGUUAAAGAAAGGCAUGGAACACUUUCCUAGAAAGAAAAUUAAAUUACCUUAUGAAUCUAUUAUGAGAGCCACUUAUGGAUUGCCUACCAAAGAUGGCAAUACCUAGAUCUAUUCUUGCUUUUUAUGCUUAGCUAGGGGCGUUAAACGAUAGCGCUUGUUGGGAGGCAACCCAAUUUUAUUUUUAUUCCUUGCCUUUUGCUCCUGUUUAGUAAUAAAUAAUUUAACUAGCCUCUAUUUUGGUUGUGUUUUUUGUGUUUAAUUAGUGUUUGUGCCAAGUAGAACCGUUGGGAAGACUUGGGGAAAGUCUUGCUAAUCUUGCUGUAAAAAGCAGAAACUUUAGCGCUCACGAGAACUGAUGCCAUUUUUAUUUGGAAAGUUAUAUUUAGUUAAUUAUUUUUUAAUAUGAUUAAUAGAUAAAUUCCUCACGUCCAGCAAUUUAUUUUAAAAUUUUUGGGGUUACAGAUCUUGCACUAGCUACAGAUUACUACAGACUGUUCUGUUUUUGACAGAUUCUGUUUUUCGUGUGUUGUUUGCUUAUUUUGAUGAAUCUAUGGCUAGUAAAAUAGUUUAUAAACCAUAGAGAAGUUGGAAUACAGUAGGUCUAACACCAAUAUAAAUAAAGAAUGAGUUCAUUAUAGUACCUUGAAGUGGUCUUUUGUUUUCUUUCGCUAAUGGAGCUCACAAGAUUUUCUACCUUAAGUUUUGUGUUGUGAAGUUUUCAAGUUUUGGGUAAAGAUUUGAUGGACUAUGGAACAAGGAGUGGAAAGAGCCUAAGAUUGGGGAUGACCAUGGGACCCCCAAGAUAAUCUAAGGACACCUAAAAUCCAAAGCUUGGGGAUGCCCCGGAAGGCAUCCCCUCUUUCGUCUACUUCUAUAGAUAACUUUACUUGGAGCUAUAUUUUUAUUCACCACAUGAUAUGUGUUUUAACAGGAGCGUCUUGUAUUAUUUGAGUCUUUAUUUGUUAGUUUACCACAAUCAUCCUUGAUGUACACGCCUUUAGAGAGAGCCAUACAUGAUUUAGAAUUUGUUAGAAUACUCUAUGUGUUUCGCUUAUAUCUUUUGAGUUAUAUAGUUUUGCUCUAGUACUUCACUUAUAUCUUUUAGAGCACGGUGAUGGAUUUUUUUAUAGAAACUAUUGAUCUCUCACGCUUCACUUAGAUUAUUUUGAGAGUCUUAAUUAGCAUGGCAAUUUUCUUAAAUAAUCCAAUAUGCUUGGUAUUCAAGAAUAGUAAAAACUUUCUUAUGAGGGUGUUGAAAGCUAUGAGAAGUUUGAUGCUUGAUAAUUGUUUUGAGAUAUGAAGAUGGUGAUAUUAAAGUUGUGCUAGUUGAGUAGUUGUGAAUUUGAGAAAUACAUGUGUUAAAGCUUGUGAUUCCCGUAGCAUGCACGUAUGAUGAACUGUUAUGUGAUGAAGUCGGAGCAUGAUUUAUUUUUUGAUUGUCUUCCUUAUGAGUGGUGGUCGGGGACGAGCGAUGGUCUUUUCCUACCAAUAUAUCCCCCUAGGAGCAUGCGCGUAAUAUUUUGCUUUGAUAACUUGUAGAUUUUUGCAAUAAGUAUAUGAGUUCUUUAUGACUAAUGUUGAGUCCAUGGAUUAUACGCACUCUUUGUCCCUCCACCAUUGCUAGCCUCUCUAAUACCGCGCAUCUUUCGCCGGUAUCAUACACCCACCAUAUACCUUCCUCAAAACAGCCACCAUAUCUACCUAUUAUGGCAUUUCCAUAGCCAUUCCGAGAUAUAUUGACAUGCAACUUUCCACCGUUCCGUUCAUCAUGACACACUCCAUCAUUGUCAUAUUGCUUAGCAUGAUCAUGUAGUUGACAUCAUAUUUGUGGCAAAGCCAAUUCUUUCAUACAUGUCACUCUUGAUUCAUUGCAUAUACCGGUACACCGCCGGAGGCAUUCAUAUAGAGUCAUAUUUUGUUCUAAGUAUCGAGGUGUAAUUGUUGAGUUGUAAGAAAAUAAAAGUGUGAUGAUCAUCAUUAUUAGAGCAUUGUCCCAGUGAGGAAAGGAUGAUGGAGACUAUGAUUCCCCCACGGGUCGGGAUGAGACUCCGGACGAAAAAAAAGAAAAGAGGCCAUAAAAAAAGAGAAAAGGCCCAAAUCAAAAAAUGAGAGAAAAAGAGAGAAGGGACAAUGUUACUAUCCUUUUACCACACUUGUGCUUCAAAGUAGCACCAUGAUAUUCAUAUUAGAGAGUCUCUCAUUUCGUCACUUUCAUAUACUAGUGGGAAUUUUUCAUUAUAGAACUUGGCUUGAAUAUUCUAAUGAUGGGCUUCCUCAAAAUGCCCUAGGUCUUCAUGAGCAAGCAAGUUGGAUGCACACCCCCUUAGUUUCUUUUGUUGUGCUUUCAUAUACUUAUAGCUCUAGUGCAUCCAUUGCAUGGCAAUCCCUACUCACUCACAUUGAUAUCUAUUGAUGGGCAUCUCCAUAGCCCAUUGAUACGCCUAGUUGAUGUGAGACUAUCUUCUCCCUUUUUGUCUUCUCCACAACCACCAUUCUAUUCCACUUAUAGCGCUAUAUCCAUGGCUCACGCUCAUGUAUUGCGUGAAGAUUGAAAAAGUUUGAGAAUGUCAAAAGUAUGAAACAAUUUAUUGGCUUGUCGUCGGGGUUGUGCAUGAUUUAAAUACUUUGUGUGAUGAAGAUAGAACAUAGCCAGACUAUAUGAUUUUGUAGGGAUAGCUUUCUUUGGCCAUGUUAUUUUGAGAAGACAUGAUUGCUUUGUUACUAUGCUUGAAGUAUUAUUAUUUUUAUGUAAAUAUUAAACUUUUAUCUUGAAUCUUUCGAAUCUGAAUAUUCAUACCACAAUUAAGAAGAAUUACAUUAAAAUUAUGCCAAGUAGCACUCCGCAUCAAAAAUUCUGUUUUUAUCAUUUACCUACUCGAGGACGAGCAGGAAUUAAGCUUGGGGAUGCUUGAUACGUCUCCAACGUAUCUAUAAUUUUUUAUUGCUCCAUGCUAUAUUAUCUACUGUUUUGGACAUUAUUGGGCUUUAUUAUCCACUUUUAUAUUAUUCUUGGGACUAACCUAUUAACCAGAGGCCCAGCCCAGAAUUGUUGUUUUUGCCUAUUUUAGGGUUUCGAAGAAAAGGAAUAUCAAACGGAGUCCAAACGGAAUGAAACCUUCAGGAACGUGAUUUUCUCGCCGAACAUGAUCCAGGAGACUUGGACCCUACGUCAAGAAACAAAGGAGGAGGCCACGAGGUAGGGGGCNNNNNNNNNNNNNNNNNNNNNNNNNNNNNNNNNNNNNNNNNNNNNNNNNNNNNNNNNNNNNNNNNNNNNNNNNNNNNNNNNNNNNNNNNNNNNNNNNNNNNNNNNNNNNNNNNNNNNNNNNNNNNNNNNNNNNNNNNNNNNNNNNNNNNNNNNNNNNNNNNNNNNNNNNNNNNNNNNNNNNNNNNNNNNNNNNNNNNNNNNNNNNNNNNNNNCUGUUGCUCCACCGACGUACUCCUUCCUCCUAUAUAUAUCUGCGUACCCCCAAACGAUCAGAGACGGAGCCAAAACCCUAAUUCCACCGCCGUAACUUCCUGUAUCCACGAGAUCCCAUCUUGGGUCCUGUUCCGGAGCUCCGUCGGAGGGGGCAUCUAUCACGGAGGGCUUCUACAUCAACACUAGCCUCUCCGAUGAAGUGUGAGUAGUUUACCUCAGACAUUCGGGUCCAUAGUUAUUAACUAGAUGGCUUCUUCUCUCUUUUUGGAUCUCAAUAUAUACAAUGUUCUCCCCAUCUCUUGUGGAGAUCUAUUCGAUGUAAUCUUCUUUUUGCGGUGUGUUUGUUGAGACCGAUGAAUUGUGGGUUUAUGAUCAAGAUUAUCUAUGAACAAUAUUUGAAUCUUCUCUGAAUUAUUUAAUGUAUGAUUGGUUAUCUUUGAAAGUCUCUUCGAAUUAUCAGUUUGGUUUGGCCUACUAGAUUGAUCUUUCUUGCAAUGGGAGAAGUGCUUAGCUUUGGGUUCAAUCUUGUGGUGUCCUUUGCCAGUUACAGUAGGGGCAGCAAGGGACGUAUUGUAUUGUUUCCAUUGAGGAUAACAAGAUGGGGGUUUCAUCAUAUUGCAUGAGUUUAUCCCUCUACAUCAUGUCAUCUUGCUUAAGGCGUUACUCUGUUUUCAUGAACUUAAUACUCUAGAUGCAUGCUGGAUAGCGGUCGAUGAGCGAAGUAAUAGUAGUAGAUGCAGGCAAGAGUCGGUCUACUUGUCUUGGACGUGAUGCCUAUAUACAUGAUCAUACCUAGAUAUUCUCAUAACUAUGCUCAAUUCUGUCAAUUGCUCAACAGUAAUUCGUUCACCCACCGUAAAAUACUUAUGCUCUUGAGAGAAGCCACUAGUGAAACCUAUGGCCCCCUGGUCUAUCUUCAUCAUAUUAAUCUUCCAAUACUUAGUUAUUUCCUUUGCUUUUACUUUACUUUGCAUCUUUAUCACAAAAAUACCAAAAAUAUUAUCUUAUCAUAUCUAUCAGAUCUCACUCUCGUAAGUUACUGUGAAGGGAUUGACAACCCCUUAUCGCGUUGGUUGCGAGGAGUUAUUUGCUUUGUGCAGGUACGAGGGACUCGCGCGUAGCCUCCUACUGGAUUGAUACCUUGGUUCUCAAAAAUUGAGGGAAAUACUUACGCUACUUUGCUACAUCAUCCUUUCCUCUUCAAGGAAAUCCAACACAGUGCUCAAGAGGUAGCACCCCUCCAUAGUUCAACACCUCAGUCAUAUCGUCGUAGUGCUUAGGUGAAGCCCCACGCCGGUAACUUCAUCAUCACCGUCGCCACACAAUUAUGCUGAAGGAACUGUCUCUCACCCUCAACUGGAUCAAAAGCUCGAGGGACAUCAUCAUGCUGAAUGUGUGCUAAACACGGGGGUGCCAUACGUUCGGUACUUGGAUCGGUUGGAUCGUGAAGACGUUCGACUACAUCAACCGCGUUACUAAACGCUUCCGCUUUCGGUCUACGAGGGUACGUGGACACACUCUCCCCUCUCGUUGCUAUGCAUCUCCUAGAUAGAUCUUGUGUGAUCGUAGGAAUUUUUUGAAAUACUUUGUUCCCUUCAGUUACCAGCGUGCCCAAGCCAUUGCACCUCUCACCUCCAUGAUUGCCUCUUUUCCUCUACCACCAAAUUGAAUUUUCUUCUUAAGAUAUAGUUUUAAAUCUUAAUCAUGCAAUCGGCUCAAAACUACACUAAUUGAUUGGGAAAGGAAAAUAAAAUGUAAAACAUCAACCCUGCAUUAGUGCAUCUUUCCUGACUCAAGAGCAUGACACCAAGUAGACGAACACCUUUCAGGCCAGGGAAGAGCGAGGAUCCUCCCAGGCUCCUUCGAUGAAAGAUGAUUGGAAUACAAAAGAAGUUAAUCAUCAGUAAUGGAGAGGCCAUCUACAUGUGCACUGUCAGUUACAUAUGUUACAACCAAGUGAUAGGGGUUCUUUUUAGAGAGAAAAGAAAAUCGGUGGGGGUGUUCAUUAAUUCGGUGGAGGGCUAAUGAAACGAAACGACCUACAUACUCCCCUUUAAUAGUAGAUAUUUUAUAACGUGCUUAUCUUAGCAACGAUGAUUCAGUAGAUAUUGCAUGUGGAAACCUGUGGGGAAUUGGAUUGAGGUACAUCAACAUUAACACUUUUUGAGGAACACUUAAUUUUAGCUACCAAAUGGUAGUACAUGUCUGUUUGAAUGUUACUGGAAGUCUGCUACAUCAAGAGCGAGACAACAAUAGCCAACUACAACUAAUUGAGACAAUAUAUAUCAACAUCGACGGAUACAUAUAUUGCCAAAUCCCAGCAAAAUGAGAGAGAAAAAAAGGUGGCAUUCAAGAAAAUCUAGUGAACAUCUCUUAAAUGCUUGUAAGAAAUCUGAAUAGACUCUCAAAAAUAUCCUUCUCAAGAUAAAAAACAAACUGGUCAAGAUUACCUUUCAUACACAAAUACAGGAGUAGAAGUAGACCAGAUGUGCUACAACCAAACAACAACCCCGAGAAGCCUAUUUCGAGGGGAAAUGAACCGAAAUGAAAACAGAGAUUCAUGGCAGUUAUAUACCUCUCUUUUGGCGGUCAUGGUGGUGUGCCGCUCCACCUUUGGGCUUCGCAUAGUGGGAAACUUGGUCACCAGCAGAAUCCAGGAUGGCCCCAUCUUGUUUGCUCCGAGGGGAGACCAUUGGGUAAGGUGCUCCACUGAGCCAUUCCUUCAUGGCAAUAACAAGUACAGUGAGUCAGAAACCUCAAAAAAGGAAAAAAAAUCAUAAGGCAGUGGAAGCUCAGGGUGAAGUGAAGUUCCUUGCUUCACGGCUAUACUGCUUGAAUAUAACCUGAGAAAAUGCAUCUUGUUCAAGCAGCAUGGCUAGAGGAGGCAUGAGGUUUUAGUGCCUCCCUUCAUCCCAAAUGCAGGGGGAAACCAAAGAUGAAUCCACUCCGAAGUUAUGAUGAGAAAGCUAUAUUGAUCAUGUUACUACAUUUUUAAACUCUUUAACAAGCUUGAUUUGUCUUCAGUUUUAUCCAGUGUAUGUCUUCUCUUCAUAUUUAUCCAGUUUACAAACUAUGAAAAACUCAGGUAUGUGAAACAGAUAGCACACAUAGAUCAAUGUCAAAAUCCGAAGCAACACACAACUCAAAACAGAUAGCACAUGUGGAUCAAUCUAUCAUCUAUGCCCAAACAAAUAGCACAUGUAUGUGGAUCAAUCUUGUUAGGAAUCAAAUUUAGCAGUGGUCUUUUAUUAAUUAGCACAUACUAAUUAGUGAACCAACAUUAGCAAUUAGCAACCAUCAAUAACACUUGGAUUUUGUCCAACACCUAACCAACAAACCUUGUAAGUGACCUACACCUUAUAUAAAUACUCAGAUUCAUCAUCAAUGAAAAGCUGUUGAUUCAUUCAUUUAUCUAUCUCUCUAUUUUUUUACUUCUAAACACGUUAUCAUGCACUUUGCUCUCCAAUUGAGCAAUUUGACCGGGAAAUAAAAGAGAAGAACAAGGAUGAAUAGGGGACUUCAAUCCACAUUGGUUUAAAGAUCAUCCUCGAAUAGAACGGAUAGAUCAAAACAAAAGAAGAAACCAACUGAUUAUACUCCAUACAGGAACUUGAAAUUGGUCAGAUUUUUCAAUCAAGUAACCACAACGGAUUGAUCCUUGUUUUUCAUCAUUAUCAGUGGCCAGGAAUUAGGCAAUGUUCGCAUCUUUUCAUGGGCGAAGACAUCAUAAAAGAAACGGACGAACGGAAAAGGAGAACAGAGCUUGUCUAUCUGGCUUCAAUCAAGAAAAUACUAAUAACAGAGAUUACCUGUUUAAUCUAGUAUUCUUGUUAUCAACUAAUAAUCUAACAAUGGAUUGCGUUUCCCAUGUAUGUACGUACUCACGCAAAUCACAAGAAGAAACGAUCGAUCAUGUAUUACGAAGAAGAGGCAGUGCUCUCAUGCGCACGUCGCCAUCCGGCCGGCGCAACUUCCCACGAAUCCUUGCUCAACUGGAACAUGGCAUGGCGCGUCUCAGUAGUGGCAGCCGAUGGGUCGCUCCACCCUCCGGCAGAGCACAACCACGAUGUGGGGGCGAAGCCCUCAGGCACGCGGCGACGUCGCCUCGGCUCCGAUCACACAUGCACAAGCACUACUAGGGAAAAGCCUAGUAGUAAUGUGGAUUUAAUUCCUACACACUACUAGUAAGGUGCUACAUCUAUUCCUUAGCAGUAGCGCGUGUAACACACACUAAUGCUAAGACAUAUAGCCGUUUCCAGCGCUACUGCUAAUCUAACUAGUAGUAGCAUGCUUCUUGUCCAGUGCUACUACAUUUUUAGUGUAUUUAUAUGCCGUUAUACAAAUUUUGAUACAGUACCAAUUAAGAGGUUGUUAUAUCAUUAUGUCCAUGAUGAAUUAAUAUAUCAUUGUAAGGAAGAAACAUGGAUUAGAUUCAUUUGGAUGAAUCAAAAGUUGAAAUAGGAUGACGAUCCUACUAAUUCAACUUUUGGUCACUUUUGAUCCAUCCACAUGAAUCUAAUCCGCGUUCCUUCCACCAAUGAUAUAAUAACUAAUCAUGAUCAUAAUAACAAAUAAUCAUGAUCAACAUCAUCAUCAUAUUAAUAUAAAAACUCUUGCAUCAUGUCAUCACCAACAACACUAGCUAAUAAUCAUCAUAGUCAUUACCACCAACACUAUUUAAUCAUCAUAGUCAUAGUGUAGCUAUCUAAUCACCCCCAACACUAGCUAAUAAUAAUAAUAAUCAUAGUCAUUACCACCAACACUAGCUAUUUAAUCAUCAUAGUCAUAGUGGAGCACAUCAUCAUCUUCAAACUCAUUCUAGCUAGCUAAUCACUCCUGCUGCUCUCUCUCAGGUAAAAUAGCAUAAAACAUGUGUAGCACUCCUGCUUCAUCAUAUUGGAGAAUGCAGAUGAACCAGACUCCUAAUUGUGGAUUGCGCUUCUGAUUGCUGCCCCCUAGUACUUCUCUUUUGUGGCCCUUCACAAUUUUGCUCCAGUCUUUCACUAUUAAGACUUACUCGCUUUGAUAAAUCAUGAAUGCACUCAUGUGUAAUGCAGGAUAUUUUGGUCGUAAGCUAACCAUUGUCAUGCGACCUUUAGGCUCGAUCCAACGAGGCACAACAUUCAUCGGGAGUUCCUGUUGAAAAACAUCGUACUAACAUACUUAGCAAUGAAGUUUAGCUUAAAAAUAAUGUAUGCAAAAGUUGCACUAAGGAUAAAUAGUAAAAAUCUUACCAUCUUUCCUAAAUAGAUGUGAUUGUAGUUCAAUAGGCACACUAGUGGUCGCACGUAUUGAGUACUAAUAUUUCGAAGUUUAGGAAAAUAACCUGUCUUGACAGUAUUAAGAUCCUCAAGCCAUGAAACAUAAUGACUUAUCUCCUCACAGUUUAGUUCAUUUCCGGGACAGUAGUAGGUGAUGUCUACCAAGCGUCGGACAUGUUUGCUUGAAUGGAAAUAAGCUGUCAACAGAAAUUAGUUGUCAACUAUUUUUAAAUAAACAAUAUAAAUUACUUAAUAAAUAUGGUUGAGAAACUCACAUAAUGGUAGAACUAGGGGCGUCUGCACAUCGACCCAGAUGUCGAUAUUACCUUCAAUUUAAUCUUCCAGAUGAAUAUCAAAGGUGAUAAGCAUAUUAGGCUCAAAUGCAUAAGCCUUGCACAGUGCUCUCUAAUUUUUGCAUUCAAAAUAGGACUAGGUGUCUGCAUUGUAUAAUUUUUCGGCAAAAGUAUAACCAUACUCGGUCCUCAACUGAACUCUCUUUGCCUCCAUACUGUCCAUAGUAUUGAAACCAAUAUUAUCCAAGACAUAAAUUCUUCCAUGGCAGGGGAUACGCUAGUAGAAUGCUAAAAAAAUUAAAAUUAUAAGUUGAAGCAAAAGAAGCAGAAGUCAUACUUAAUUACGAAAAAAAGACUUGUCAUUGUGACUUACUAUAUCCACUUCGAAGGUCUCAUCCAACAUGAUGUUGAAGCGCCUACCACCAACUAGGUGAGGCCUAUCGCAUAGGCCGCGCUCGCCUUCGCAGUAUUCGCACAUAACGAAUUCCUUUUCGUUGUUAGACAUUUCCUAUGUUCAUAGUUGAAACAUUGAAAAUCGAUCGAAGACAACUACCAGGAAACUCAACACAUAGAUCACUAUUACUCAAUAUGAAACGGGUUAACUUUAGGUCUGUCGAGUCUUCCUUCCUAAACUCUUAUCUCACAUAUUUAGUCGGGAUUCUUUCACUCUCACAUUUUGACCGUCGGUGAUAGUCACUACUCCUCCUUUUCCUAGUGCAUUACAAAUAUCUAGCACAAGGAAAGAAGGAGAAGCGACCCGCACGACAACAGUCGGGAUUCUUCCUCUCUCAAUGGUGGACCCUCUCCCUCAUUGAAAGACACACAAGGAGCCGAAAUAGACAUGAAGUCAACUUGUUCCAUAUAUCGAGCAAUGAUAUUGAAAAAAUGCCCUAUGUUUUGCCGAAAUAUCGUUGAAUUCCUGUUCUAGCAAAUCACAUGCACUCGAUAUGUCCUACAUUGUAGCAUAAGUCAUGCUAAAAUUCAUGAAAAAAUUCGGCAUCGCCUUUGCUAAAGACAUGACAUAUCGAGCACCUGAAAUUGCCAGAAUGGAAACGAAUCAACAUUCUAGCAAAACAUAUAUAGGCCACUCGGAGGUACAUUGCAAACAAGAACACCAAGACAUCCUCUAUAUUCAGAAUGCAUCAUCAUCGACAUCAAUGACAUGGCGACUAGCACUAGCAUUUUCAUCAUCGACAUUUACAACACAUUAUCAUUUGGCUAUUCUCACCUAGAGGUCUUAAGGGGUCGACGAUGGGGACGACUGUGGGGAUGACGCGGGGGCAAAUACUUGAUUUCGGUAUAAACAAAAUAUAUUAACCACUUACUAUAAAUAAACUAGUUCUAUUAAGCACUUACUAUAAAUAAACUAUUUCUAUUGAGAACUUACUAUAAAUAAACUAGUUAUAUUAACCACUUACUAAAUAACUAUUUCUAUUAAACACUUGCUAAAAUUUAAACAUUGUUAACUGAUAAAUCUCCAACGUAUCUAUAAUUUUUGAUUGCUCCAUGCUAUAUUAUCUACUGUUUUGGACAUUAUUGGGCUUUAUUAUCCACUUUUAUAUUCUUUUUGGGACUAACCUAUGAACCGGAGGCCCAGCCCAGAAUUGCUGUUUUUUUGCCUGUUUUAGGGUUUCAAAGAAAAGGAAUAUCAAACGGAGUCCAAAGGGAAUGAAACCUUCGAGAACGUGAUUUUCUCAACGAGCAAGACCCGAGAGACUUGGACCCUACGUCAAGAAAGAAAAGAGGAGGCCACGAGGUAGGGGCGCGCCUACCCCCCCCCCCCCAGGCGCGCCCUCCACCCUCGUGGGCCCCCUGUUGCUCCACUGACGUACUCCUUCCUCCUAUAUAUACCUACGUACCCCCAAACGAUCAGAUACGGAGCCAAAACCCUAAGUCCACCGCCGUAACUUUCUGUAUCCACGAGAUCCCAUCUUGGGUCCUGUUCCGGAGCUCCGCCAGAGGGGGAAUCGAUCACGGAGGGCUUCUACAUCAACACCAUAGCCCCUCCGAUGAAGUGUGAGUAGUUCACCUCAGACCUAUGGGUCCACAGUUAGUAUCUAGAUGGCUUCUUGUCUCUUUUUGGAUCUCAAUACAAUGUUCUCCCCUCUCUUGUGGAGAACUAUUCGAUGUAAUCUUCUUUUUGCGGUGUGUUUGUUGAGACCGAUGAAUUGUGGGUUUAUGACCAAGUCUAUCUAUGAAUAAUAUUUGAAUCUUCUCUGAAUUCUUUCAUGUAUGAUUGGUUAUCUUUGCAAGUCUCUUCGAAUUAUCAGUUUGGUUUGGCCUACUAGAUUGAUCUUUCUUGCAAUGGGAAAAGUGCUUAGCUUUGGGUUCAAUCUUGCGAUGUCCUUUCCCAGUGACAGUAAGGGCAGCAAGGCACGUAUUGUAUUGUUGCCAUCGAGGAUAACAAGAUGGGGUUUUCUUCAUAUUGCAUGAGUCUAUCCCUCUACAUCAUGUCAUCUUGCUUAAGGCGUUACUCUGUUUUUAACUUAAUACUCUAGAUGCAUGCUGGAUAGCGGUCGAUGAGUGGAGUAAUAGUAGUAGAUGCAGGCAGGAGUCGGUCUACUUGUCUCGGACGUGAUGCCUAUAUACAUGAUCAUACCUAGAUAUUCUCAUAACUAUGCUCAGUUCUGUCAAUUGCUCAACAGUAAUUUGUUCACCCACCGUAGAAUACUUAUGCUCUCGAGAGAAGCCACUAGUGAAACCUAUGGCCCCCGGGUCUAUCUUUAUCAUAUUGAUCUCCUACUACUUAGUUAUUUCAUUUGCUAUUUACUUUGCCUUUAUUUUACUUUGCAUCUUUAUCACAAAAAUACCAAAAAUAUUAUCUUAUCAUAUCUAUCAGAUCUCACUCUCGUAAGUGGCCUUAUAGGGAUUAACAACCCCUAUUUGCGUUGGUUGCGAGGAUUUACUUGUUUUGUGCAGGUACGACGGACUCAUGCGUAGCCUCCUACUGGAUUGAUACCUUGGUUCUCAAAAACUGAGGGAAAUACUUACGCUACUUUGCUGCAUCAUCCCUUCCUCUUCGGGGAAAACCAACGCAGUGCUCAAGAGGUAGGAUUAACCUAGCCAACCAGACUGCUAUGCUCUAAACCCUGCUGCCCUAGUUAAACCUACUGCCCUAACUACAUUUUUGCUCUAAACUAAAUUUUUGCUCUAACCUAGCUAGUUAACCUAAUGAACCUAGCUAGUUAACCUAGUUGGUUAACCUAGCUAGUUAACCUAGUUGGUUAACCUAGCUAGUUAACCUAGUUAAUUAACCUAAUUAAACUAGUUAACCUAGCUAGCCAACCUAGUUAACCUAGCUAGUUUGAAUUUUUACUAAUUUACUAAAAAAUCUACUCUAUGCAAGAACAGAGUGAGGAGAGAUGAGGGAGGGAGAAUGGGAGCAGGGGGUGGGGGAGGGAGGAGGAUCGGAGGAGGGAGGAGGGAGGGGUNNNNNNNNNNNNNNNNNNNNNNNNNNNNNNNNNNNNNNNNNNNNNNNNNNNNNNNNNNNNNNNNNNNNNNNNNNNNNNNNNNNNNNNNNNNNNNNNNNNNNNNNNNNNNNNNNNNNNNNNNNNNNNNNNNNNNNNNNNNNNNNNNNNNNNNNNNNNNNNNNNNNNNNNNNNNNNNNNNNNNNNNNNNNNNNNNNNNNNNNNNNNNNNNNNNNNNNNNNNNNNNNNNNNNNNUGGGAGGAGGGCUUGGCCGGAGGAGGAGGCGGAGGGCUUGGUGGAGAAGGAGGAGUGCCCUUGGCCGGAGGAGAGGAGGGAGGAGGGCUUAGCCGGAGGACGAGGGAGGAGGGCGGUGGGAGGAGGAGGGAGAGGAGGGAGGAGGGCAUACCGAGGAAGGAGGAGGGAGGACGACGGCGGCAAUGCGUUGGCGACAGCAAUGCAGCGGUGGCAGAGGAAAAGUGAGGCAACGGGAAGUGAGGGAAGGAAGAAGAAGGUCGGGUGCGUGUCGGCGUUUUGGGAACGGGGGUCCCCAGACUUGCCUGCCUGCGGCCUGCGGUGUGGCUCAAGCGGGGGCCCAGCGCGGCCCAUCUUCAUCAGCUCAAGCUCAAGACCCUCGCGAGGGGCCAAGCCUCGCGGGGCGGACGACAGGAAGCUUCCUCAGAGGCAGCCUCAUCAGGCAGGCUUGCAAGGAGGCGGAGAGAUCAAGGCAGGGGUACCUCGCGAGGAACCCGUGAUGCAAGCCAUGACGAUCGAGACCAGGCGGGCGCCAGGCGGGCGCCGGCCUGCGCAGUGUCCUUGUUUCCCCUUUGGUGCAAAGGGGGCAAGCACAGGCCAAGGAAUCAGGCAAAGGUUACCAUUCCGGUGCAACGAGACCAAGACCAGCCGGACGGUUGGACGGAGGUCACCGUGGAGUCCAAGAUGGCAUCAUCACCAGUGCUUUUGGCAGCCGAAGACCACCUUUGGUCAGGAUAACUUGUACUAGAUGUUCCCCUUCGAAAUGGCCAAUUGUUGGCGCCCUUCCCGCUCAUUAUUUGGGGAGAGGCCCAGGGCCUCUAUAAAUAGAGCUAGCCACCACAGAGUAGGGAGGAGACACCCGAGAGAGAUCGAGACACCCCGGAGAGAUCGAGACCCCCGAGAGAGAACGAGACACCCCGGAGAGACCAAGGCACCGAGGAAGGGAGAAAUCUGGAGACGGCUAGAAAUCUGGUAGAACCAUAGCAGAGAGAGAGGAAGAGGCGACUGAACUCACCCUAGCAGUUCAUCGCACCAGCUCAAAAACACCUCUCACGAGGCUAUUCUUCCCUUGUACUGUCCAUCAUCAGUCCCAGAGGCAAUCCACCACACCACACACUGGAGUAGGGUAUUACACCACAACGGUGGCCCGAACCAGUAUAAACUUCGUGUCUCUUGUGUUGUUCAUCAUUUUCAUCUUAGUACGCACGAGAGGAUCGGACGUAGAUCGGUAGGGGAGAGAUCUCCGCGCGCACCCUAGUGUUCGAACCUCAAGGGUUUGCCGGAACCCGAAACCCGACAUUUGGCGCGCCAGGUAGGGGUGCGCCGGAAUCUUCCUUCCGCUGUUCGCGUGUGAUCUUCCGUCGUGUCCAUGGCUGACGCUCGUCGGGCUCAGGCCGAGCGCCGGGCUACUCACGCCGCUCGCGUCGCCCAGACGGCGCCCGUCGGCGGCCCCCCUCGUUGUUCCCCGUCGCCCGCCGCCAACGCCGCCAACGUACCGGCGGGGAACGAGCAGCAGGCCUUGUCCCAGCACCCCUCGGUGCGGCGGGAUGGCCGCAUCGCCACCACGUCGCUGACUCCAGCUGGCUCGUCGUCCCACGCCCGUCGCGCACCCAUGGAUGCGCACGCCUCACUGCUCUUGGCGUGGGAGCUCCUGCACUAUCGCCCCAUCAACGACCUCUACGAGGACUGGCUCGCCCCAUCACCGAGCUCGUCAGUGCCGCAGGGGGCUCCCCCUUGCGGUCCCUCUCGCUGCCUCGCCCUCCAUCCCGUGCAGGGGGCGAUGAUCAGGAGGCGCCUCUGCCGCCUCCUCCCCAAGAAAGUGCCUUGGCUCCAAGGCGCGCAACCCCAGGGCGAGACCCUCCAUGUCCGGCGCCUGCGCAGCAAGAAGGGAGCUGCCAAGAGAUCCCACGUCCCCGGGAAGGUGCUCGCGCGCUCCCAGCACCGGCGCGCCAAGAUCGCGCCCCAGCGCCUCCACGACAAAACCCCACGCUGCUCCCAGUGGCGGCGCGUGGUGACCCGCAAGAACGAGUCCAACACCAGCAAAGCACGCCGGUGGCCACGGCGGGCUGCCUCGCCUUCACCCCCGAGCUGCGAUGCAUCACAUGGCCAGGCAAGUUCAAGCCUGACCUCCCUCCCUGCUACAAUGGCACAGCGGACCCCGCAGAGUUCCUGCAGCUCUAUGAGCUGGGCAUCGUAGCCGCCAACGGAGACGAGAAGGUCAUGGCAAAUUGGUUCCCCAUGGCUCCUGAACCUGGCUCCCGGCAUGAUCUCCUCCUGGAGCGAGAUGCACACCCGCUUCAUCGCCAAUUUCCAGGGCACUCGCGACCGGCCCCCGGCCGUGAGCGACCUGCGCCGCAUCAAGCAACAGCCAGCAGAAACCUUGCAGAAGUACAUCCAGCGCUUCAACUACGCUCGCCUCAAGAUCCCCAAGGUGACUGAAGAAGCCAUCAUCUCAGCCUUCUCCGACGGCGUGCGCGAGGUCAAGAUGAAGGAAGAGCUAGCAAUCCAUGAAGACCUGUGCACAUCCCUGGAGCUGUUCAACUUGGCGACCAAGUGCGCCAGGGCUGAGGAAGGGCGUCUCUCCCUCCUCGAGCUCCCGGCAGCCGACCCGGAAGAAAAGAAGCUCAAGGCCAAGGACGUGAAGCGCAAGGGGGCUGCCGUUCUAGCAGCGGAACCGGACACCAAGCGAGGCAUGGAUCAGCCUUAGUCAUCCUAGGGCGGACGGCACUGCAUGUACGACGACCUCCACACCCACAACACCAACGAAUGUCAAGAGCUCAGAGCCGUGCGAGAUGGGCGUAUCAGCCGAUGCCCAGAGCGCAACGACAGGGGCUAUGGCCGAGGAGGAGGAAGAGGUGGUGGACGAUGGGAAGAUCGUGGCCUUCGCCAGGGAUGCGUGACCGCCCUCGCGAGGACCGCUGGCAGGACCAGCCUCGUGAGGGAGGUUGGAAGGACCAUCCUCGUGAGGACCGUCCCCACGGCAACGUAGGCCUCCCUCCUCUGCCACCUUCACCAAGGAGGAACGAAGACCAACACCAAGACGAUGGGGCUGGGGGCUUCCAAGAUCUGCGUGCAAUUGCUUGCAUCUUGGGCGGCGCCCAGGCCCCAGCCUCACAAAGCAUCUUCGAGCAGUUUGCUCGCGAGGUGAAUGCAAUCCUUCCCAAGCUUGAGGCCACGCGCCCUCUCAGGUGGUCUUCAUGCGCGAUCACAUUCAGUUCCGCAGACUAGCUCAAGUGUGCGGCAACGGCCAGAGUCCUCCCGAUGCUUUGCUCCCCAGUUAUCAGCAACGUGCAGGUCACCAGGACCCUCAUCGAUGGCGGGGCAGGACUCAAUGUCCUGUCCGUCGAGACAUUCGACAAUCUCCAAGUGCCAUACGACCAGCUUUAGCCGACCAAGCCUUUCUCAGGAGUCACCGAUGGUUCCACUGUUCCAAUUGGGCAGGUUCGCCUUCCGGUCACCUUCGGGCAACGCAACAACUACCGCACCGAGCUCAUCGACUUUGACGUCGCCCACAUCCGCCUGCAGUACAACGCCAUCCUCGGGUACCCAGCCCUAGCCGAGUUUAUGGCAGUGACUCACCAUGAUUACAAUGUCCUCAAGAUGCCAGGAAGCGGUGGAGUCAUCACCGUACCCUGUGAAGAAAGGGACGCAGUGUGCUCGCUCGAGCGUGCAUUCCAAGCCGCAGCAAUCGAAGACCCAGAUCGCAGGAGCGGGAAGCCUCUCGAGGCGACCCUCAAGAAGAAGAAGACCUCACCUGGCCAGAGCCACAAGGAAGCAGGCACCUCCAGAGGUAUUGUGUCAAGAUUCGCGCCCGAUCAGGGAGCGCCGCCCUCUUGCACAUAGGAAGGAGCGCCCGGCGCCCUCCUCAUGCAGGGCUCGGGGGCUCUCUCUUGGAGAGCCACCGACCUUGCCAAGGUUGCAGGGGGGGCGCUCGGGCACCACUUGGAGGGGUGCUUUCAGGCACGCUUCCCUCAGAAAGGUACAAGUCAAAGGAGACAAAACCCUCAGGAGUUCAUCGCAAGGAACACCCAAGAGCUACAAGAGUCCAUAGUCAUGCGCGGAAGCCGCCUCUUACCUGUCGUGGCCGCACAUCCAGGCGAGGAUGGAGGACUGUGCGUCUGUGUCGACGUACCAGGGCUCAACCGAGCUGCGUCCCAGGAACGCCUAUGGCCUUCGGCCGUAGGGCGCUGUGUGGGAGCACCCCACAGCUACGUUCGCAUGCCCUUCGGCCUGCCGAGCGCAGUCGCCGCACAUCAGUGCCUGUUGAGGAGCAUUCUGGAGGCUCAGGAGGUCAGGCAUGGCGCGGUCCUGGCGGAGGUGGCGAUGGUCCCCGAAGACCUGCACGUGCCAUCAGAGCCUCCUGAGGCCUGGGGGCUCAUGAGGGCCGACGUCUUCACCGCGCAUCGCUCACUUCCUCAGCAUCACUUUGUCUUCAACAACACCAGGUGACAUCUUUCAGAGUUCUACUUUUAGCUGGGAGCGCCCACAGGGCUGCACCAUUCCCAGGCCGCGUGGGUCCGUCCCUGCGGCAUGUAUCUAUUUUGGUUAUGCUCUUUACUUACCCUGUUGGGGGCGCCCCUCGGGCUGCAUCAUCCCCACACCGCUCAGGCCCGACCCAGCGGCAGUUGCUUUUCCAGCAUUUACCCUAGGAUGAAGUUGUUCUUUCAUGCUUAAUCUAAUUCCCAUAGUUAUCACCUACUUCUUGUCGUCGUGCAAAGCGCUUGCACGUUAAAAGGGGGCGCCUAAGCAUCGCGACUCAUGGGCUCUUACUGGCUCUCCAUCCCUCACCCCCUGGCCUUGACCCAUAGCAUCGUGACCUGUCAUACUAGUGACGGCUGAGCUCGCUUGGGGGCCGGGACCUGAGGACGUAGAGCAUUUGCAUUCUAAUAACCCUGCAGGAACACACCAAUUGAUAAAGGCCCAGACCCAGCCGCAACCCGCCUCGAGGUAGGGCCUCGUGAGUCCCGCGCUGGCUCACGGGUGCCCAAAUACACCUCUCCUAGCCCUACCGUGCCGACCACGUGUCAGGGCGGGGCUAUACAUGCCCCGGGGGCUCCUCCCAGAGGGGAGCCCCCUCCCACGCACCAGUGCAAGCACCAUGCUCCGCGCUGGCUGACGACACUGCCGGGGAGCGGCUAUGCCCGUACACAUACAGAAGCGCUAUGCUCCGCGCUGGUGAUAAACAACUAAGGGCGGCCCAUGGCCGUACCAACCUCAGGGAGCCCAGAGCUCAGUGUCCGGCACCAUCGCAACACCUCCCCUCGGGAGUGCCGCGCGAGGGGGCUGGACACGGGGGCUACGCCCGGGCCUCGCCUGAGCGCACGCCACCCAGCCAGGUCCCUUGGACCUGGUCGCCGCGCGCCACUCCCCGAGCGGAGCCAAGGUACGAAACCCGUUUGAGCGUCUAGGGGGACUCCUGAGCAUCGCGACUCAGGAGCCUAACUUUCCAUGUAGCCCCUCACUCCUUAGUCCCGUCCUUGGUUUCCGAUCGGGGCUAACACUGGGUGAGGUAUGCGCGGGGCCGGGCCCUGCCGACGUAUAACGAUCAAUCCACUCCUCGCUCCCCCCUUCCCUACUUGUUGCUCACGCGUCAAGGGGGACUCCUGAGCAUCGCGACUCAGGAGCCUAACUUGCCACGUAGCCGCUCACUCCUUAGUCCCGUCCUUGGUUUCCGGUCGGGGUUAACGCUGGGUGAGGUACGCGCGGGGCCGGGCCCUGCCGAUGUAGAGCGUAAACAAGUAGGUGAGGAAAAUGCAAAUUCCUGGAAAUUCAAAGCAAAUAUUACAAACCAUAAGAUUGUUCCACAAUGCCAAACACAAGUUUUAACGCCUCCGCGAGGCAUGGUGCAUGUGCAGGAAUAAAACAGGAUGGAAGUCGCGAAGGAAUCACUCCCCAGUAACGCCGUCACCGGUGGCAGAGUCAAGCUGGACGGCUUCGCCUCUCGAGGUCGCAAGGCCGACGGCACCGCGCCCGGGCAGGACGCUGGGGGAACGGAACUUCCCCAGCAAAACCUCGGCUCGGCCCCUCACAGCCUCGGCGGCGGCGGCGGCAGCACGAUCGCCGCUCACGGGCUCCAGCAGGCUGUCGAAGUCGACGUUGGGGUCGCGCAGGUAGACAUGGCUGAGGACACGCGUCAGCACCGCAGAAGACAGGGCACAUGCCUCGGCCUCGACCGUGGGGCCAAGGCCGUCUGCGACGUCCUCAAGCGCAUCAACCAGGAAGGGGAGCAGCUUGGCGGGGCCGUCCUCCGCACCAGCCAACGGCUCCUCCAGGACGCUCUCAUACAUCGUAUUCAGUAUGCCUCGAGCCUUCUUCUCCAGCUCCGCGAAGGCCGUCCGGUCCUCCAUCAGGACCUUUGCCUUGGCGUCCAUCUUGGUCCUCUUCGCCUUCAGCGACCGCUCCAGCGUCUCCAGCCGGCUGUGGUGGUCAUCAAGCUUGGCGUCCCGGUCCGUGGCGGCGGCCUCCCUAGCCUUCAUCUCCUUCUCCUGGCGGCUGCGCACCUCCUUGGCGAGCUCGUCACGCAAGCCCUGCAGCUCGGCCUCAAGCGUCUUGCAGCGGCCCUGGGCAUUUGCGACGUCGCCUAGGGUAGCAUCGCGAGCGGCCAUGGCUUGGUUGGCGGCCCGCCUCUCCUCGUCGGAGGCAUAGCUUGGCUCAACACCACUCGGAAGGAGGCAGCAGAACUAGCCCAGCCAGAGGCCAACUCUAGGCGCCCGGCCACCAGACGAGGGUCCGCACUCAGGAGAUCCUCCCGCAAUUGGCUCAGCUCAUUGGCAACCUGGUCCAGGACAGCGGCGGAGGGAGCAGAAGAGACAAGAACCUAUGGAGCAGGCGGAGAGGAUGGCAGCGUGGCCACGGCUUGGCAGGAAGGGACCUCCUGAGCCUUGGCCGCCAUGGCCGCAGCAUCGGGCACAGUCGACUCCAGGUCUAGUGGGGCCACGGGGGUUGACUCCUCGCCGGGGUGCCCCAGUUGGCCUCGCGAGGGCGGUUGGGUCGAAGAGGUGCGGGCCUCGCCGUCCUCUCCCCCAACAGCCGAAGGUGUCGCCCCGGCGGACGGAUUCGCCCCAAGCAUGGCCGCAGAAGCCUCCUUCAACCUCUUGGCCGCAGGUGUCGGCCUGGUAAAAGAGCGCAAACAUCAAGCCUCAGUGGCAGAAACCAAGCAGAGCAUGAAUCGAGCACUUACUGGAUGUUGUCCGUGGGCUCAAGCAACCUCCGGCCAAACUUGAAGCCCGAGAGCCUGCAGCGGGGGUCAGCCUUUGGCGGCCCGAAAGCAGAAGGCGCGUCAGGAGGGAUGGAGCUGGCCUUGGACAUCCCAGGGACUAGAGCAGACCCUGGGGGAACCAGGCUCGACCUGCCCUUCCUCGUGACCGAGGAAGAGCCCUCCUUUCCUCGCCUGGUGUCGGCCUCGUCGUCGUCCAGCAUGGAGCGAAGCGCCUGGGACCUGCGCCGAGGGAAGGACUCCCCUCAAUCCUCGCCAGUCUCCUCCGAGUCAGACGCUUCCUCCUCCGCCUCUUCUUCCUCCUCUUCCCCGCUGGAGCUGUCGGAGGACAAGUUCACCAUCGCCAAGACCGCCAGAUCUUCGGGAGCUGCCGCGGGCACCAGCCCCUCACCGUUGAAGGUGGGCAUGGCGUUCACCACCAGCUCCCAGUCGUCACGAAGGAACAGGGGGACGGGGGCACCCACCGGGCUCGCCACGUCUCCCCCAACCAAGGAAUGGAGGGCCGCAGCCAGAUCCUCGUCAGUCAGGGCCUCGGAGCUCAGGCGCAGGGUGGCGUCUGCUCCUCCAAGCCUCCACAGUGGGAGCGGGUGCUCCUGGAGCGGAGCCACCCGGUGCUCCAAGAACUCCCUCAGGAGCGUGGCCCCGGUCAGCUUCGCCGCCUCCGAGUUGCUUGGUCUCAGGUCCGCGUCCACCCUCCUCAACACCGCCUUCGCGCGAAGGUCGACGAGCUCCGCGCGGGACCAUGCGUCAACGGACUUAGGUUGCCCCGUGGGCAAUACCAGACGAGGGUGGAGGCGCCCAACAUCCAUCAUGACCCACUUGCUCCGGUAGCCUUCAAUCCUCUUCCCAGGCUUCGAGAUGGCGUUGGAGCUGGAAUAUGCAAUGAAGCUCGCGCAUGCGGAGACCUGAGCACCAGAAACCCGGAGGGAGAAAAAAGUGGCGUAGCAAGACCACCGAGGGCUUCACACCAACAUGAGCCUCGCAAUAGUAGGUGAAAAUCGCCAGGAGAAGGACAGAGUUGGGGUGGAGAUGCAGAGCCUGCAGGUUGUAUUGGCGGAGAACGGCAUGGAAGAACUCAGAGAAAGGAGGCACCAGACCAGCGACAUUGGCGCUCACGAAAAACGGGUAGAAGGUGCUCCCCUUGCCCUCAAGCUGAUCGGAGCCGACCUUGAGCACAGUCGCUCCCUCGCUGCCCUGCGCCAUCGUCAUCAGGCGCACGAGGGCGAGGUUCUUCUCCGACAAAUUCAGGGAAUCCAAGGCCGGCGAGUACCAAGCAUCAGCCGGGGACUUGCGAGGCGCCAUGGCGUGCCAGAUGCGAAGGAUUGAGACGGAUCUGGAGGAUUUCGGGAGCAAGAGGAAGGAGAACGAGAAAGGGGAUCUAGGGCAAGACGGACAAGAGCGGGACAAGUAAGCCUGGCCAGGGCACCCCCUUUUGUCAGUCGUGCAGUUGCCAAGGCGUCGUGGGAAGUGCAGACCCCCACGCCCAAUCAACCGCCACGCGGCGCCCAAGGCCGUAGGCUGUUAGGGCCCGCGGUGCUUCGCACUUGCCCCUUCGCUUCUCUGCUAAGCCAAGCCCGCGCACGCCUUGGGCCCGGGGACUACUGUUGGCGUUCUGGGAACGGGGGUCCCCAGACUUGCCUGCCUGCGGUGUGGCUCAAGCGGGGGCCCAGCGCGGCCCAUCUUCAUCAGCUCAAGCUCAAGACCCUCGUGAGAGGCCAAGCCUCGCGGGGCGGACGACAAGAAGCUUCCUCAGAGGCAGCCUCAUCAGGCAAGCUCGCGAGGAACCCGUGACGCAAGCCAUGACGAUCGAGACCAGGCGAGCGCCAGGCGGGCGCCAGCCUGUGCAGUGUCCUUGUUUCCCCUUUGGUGCAAAGGGGGCAAGCACAGGCUAAGGCAUCAGGCAAAGGUUACCAUUCCGGUGCAACGAGACCAAGACCAGCCGGACGGCAGGACGGAGGUCACUGUGGAGCCCAAGACGGCGUCAUCACCAGUGCUUUUGGCAGCCGAAGACCACCUUUGGUCAGGAUAACUUGUACUAGAUGUUCCCCUUCGAAAUGGCCAAUUGUUGGCGCCCUUCCCGCUCAUUAUUUGGGGAGAGGACCAGGGACUCUCUAUAAAUAGAGCUAGCCACCACAGAGUAGGGAGGAGACACCCGAGAGAGAUCGAGACACACGAGAGAGAUCGAGACACCCCGGAGAGAUCGAGACACCCGAGAGAGAUCGAGACACCCCGGAGAGACCAAGGCACCGAGGAAGGGAGAAAUCUGGAGACGGCUGGAAAUCUGGUAGAACCAUAGCAGAGAGAGAGGAAGAGGCGACUGAACUCACCCUAGCAGUUCAUCGCAUCAGCUCAAGAACACCUCUCGCGAGGCUGUUCUUCCCUUGUAUUGUCCAUCAUCAGCCCCAGAGGCAAUCUACCACACCACACACUGAAGUAGGGUAUUACACCACGACGGUGGCCCGAACCAGUAUAAACUUCGUGUCUCUUGUGUUGUUCAUCAUUUUCAUCUCAGUUCGCACGAGAGGAUCGGACGUAGAUCGGUAGGGGAGAGAUCUCUGCGCGCACCCCAUUAUUCGAACCUCAAGGGUCUGCCGGAACCCAAAACCCGACAGCACGGGGGAUAGAACUUGGGAUAAGGCACCCAUAGCAGUAGCACUGGCCCAGGAAGCGCGCUACUGCUAAGUGGAUAGCAACAGCCCGUUUUCACAAAACGUGCUACUACUAUACCUAGUCUGGCGACAACCUCUUCCCAACUGUAGUAGUAGCUCUGUUUAGUAGAGACGUGCUACUGCUACGUGGAUAUCAGUAGCGCGGUUUUCCUCACACGCUACUGCUAAGUAGCAGUAGCGCCUUAUUUUAAACCGCGCUGCUGGUAAGGUUCUGUGUAUAAGAUUUUUCCUAGUAGUUACGGGAGCCGACGCAAGGAACCCUCAGCCCUCCUCACCUCAGCCCCGAUCUCCAUCCCGGCGUGGCAUCUCCGUGGGCUGGGGAAGCAGCAGGACGAAGCGGGGGAGGGGCGGUGGCGGACAUAGAGAUAGAUCGAUUGGAUUUAGGUUAGGUGUGCGUAAAGUACUCCGGUUUUCUUUGCGGAGGAAGGAAAAAAACCAGACGAAGAGGAAGGGGAUGAAAAAAAAACAGACGAAAAAAUCAGAAAAAAAACCAUAUCGUGGACGCAAUCCCACCAACUGCUCCACAUGUGGUAAGCAAUCCAAACAACUCAAAAAAAGGAGUAGAGAUAUGUGUACGUGCUGCCCGCAUGUAUAGUAAUCAGAAAUCAGUAUAUCAACCCAGUAAAAAAAUUAGAUAGGAAAAAAGAGAGAAAACGAGAUGGGCUAGGCCCAAUUGUUGGUGAAGGGUCGCACCGCCGUAGCCUGCACACCUCGAUCGCGAUCGCUUCGUCGCUCUGGCUGCCGGCAACCGUUGCUUGUGAUUCUUCUCCGUUGCAUGCGGCACUGUUGCCGGCUUGCCGCCUUGCCGGUGUUGCGCACCUACCUUUGGCGGCCUGCUUGACCGGUGGCCACUUAAACACUCGCGUCCGGUCGUCCGCGUCGUCUAGUCUCUUUGUCUCUGUAUUCGCCCAUCCCCAAUGUGUACAUUAGAAUUUCGAUGCACAAAUUUCUAAUUCUAUGGAUUCUCUUUUGGACAUAAUUUUAGGACAUUAGCCUGCCAUACAAUGUUUCCUAAAAAGCAUUUGUUUGGUGGUUAAAAAAAGGAGAAAAAAAACAAAGCGAUCUGAAAGUUCAAUCACGAAAGGGUCCAAAAUGUUCUGAUUUCUGAAAAUUCAAUGUUGCGCAAGAAGCAUUAUUAUAGUUGAUGGUGUCACUUAAAUUUGGUCCUAAUUUGAGGUUGAGGUAAUCAUGUUAGUUUCGUUUUGCUAUCAAUUUAGUCUUGCUGCCGUGAUAUGGCAUUGUCCAACUAGAUGUAUAUACGGAAGUUUAUUCUUAAUACUAUGCAAAUAAAAUAAUAUAAUUUAUGUAGCGCACGUGCGCACACACACACACACAUGUACUCUUAGGACUUAGGGGCCCGUGUCGUUGAGUUAGCCCUAGGGCCUUCCUGAACAUAGGGUCGGCCCUGUAAGCUGCCCAGCUCGGCGCCAUGCUAAGGUCUUUUUGGGUUGGGCUUGCUAAAAUCUAUUGGACAAAUAUUGCAGUGCUUCGGGUCAGAGGAUCAAUAAUGCUAAAUCGUCUAUUUUCUUCAGUAAAGGGUGCCCUCAAGGGGUCAAAGAUAGCAUUGAACAAUGCCUUAAUGUGCACAAUGAAUCUUUGAGUGAUAGAUAUGUGGGCAUGCCCACAUAUGUUGGACAGUUUAAGAUGGGUACUUUCAAGUACUUGAGUGACAGGGUCUGGGAGAAAGUAAGAGGAUGGAUGAGAAGCUCCUCUCGGCAGCAGGCAAAGAGGUUCUCAUCAAGUCAGUUGUUCGGGCUAUACCAGUAUAUUCAAUGGCAUGUUUCAGAUUACCUCAGAGGCUGUGUGAGAACAUUACUUCUAUAAUUAGGCAGUUCUAGUGGGGCAGCAAACAAGGAAGAAGAAAACCAGCUUGGGUCUCUUGGGAUGUCAUGAAAAAGCCAAAGUACCUUGGUGGGAUGGGCUUCAGAGACAUUGAGAUUUUUAACCUAGCAUUGCUUGCUCGUCAGGCAUGCAUGGAGGCUUCUCAUGUCCCCACAAUCUCUCAGUGCAAGGAUGCUGAAAGCAGCUUAUUUUCCAAAUGUUGAAUUUUUGGAGGCAGAAUUGGGUAACCAACCUUCGUAGACACUAGUGCAUAACCGGGCUUUAGCACCGAUUCGUAAGGCCCUUUAGUGCCGGUUCUACAACCGGCACUAAAGUGUGGGGACUAAAGCCCCCCCUAGUACCGGUUCAACACGAACCGUCACUAAAGGGCCAUCACGUGGCACGAGGCGCGCCGUGGUCUGGGGGACCUUUUUUUGAAUUUUUUUGAAACAAAGCAAAAAUAGCUCACCUACUGGGCCAGCACGGCCUGCAUACGACUAGAAACCCAACCUCUAGUUGGGCCAGGGUGCAGGCCCGUACGGCCCAGUAGGCCCCAUAGGGCAGAAGACUUGCAAUAGGCCCACAAAGGCCUGUUUAGAGAGGAGCUCGACACGGCAGCCGCGGCGGGGCUUAUAAACCGGUGCGAGCUCCUCUCAACUAGCGAGGUGGGACUAAACAUUGUGCACUGCGGGUGGCAGCACACCCCUUUAGUACCGGUUGGUGGCACGAACACGUACUAAAGCGGGGGUCUUUAGUACCGGUUGGAGCCGCCAACCCAUACUAAAGGCCACCACCUCUUUAGUACCGGUUCGUGGCACGAACUGGUACUAAAGGUUCGCCACGAACCAGUACUAAUGAAUGCCGCCCACCUAGCCAUUAGAACCGGCAUUAAUGGUCAUAUUAGUGUCGGUUCAAUUACAAACCGGGACUAAUGAGUUUUACAUUAGGCCCUUUUUCUACUAGUGAGAUAUGGCGAGUGAGGGAGUCCUGGAUUAGGGCGUCUCCGGACAGCCGGACUAUCUCUAUUGGUCGGACUGUUGGACUAUGAAGAUACAAGAUUGAAGACUUCAUCUCGUGUCCGGAUGGGACUCUACUUGGCGUGGAAGGCAAGCUAGGCAAUACGGAUAUGGAUAUCUCCUCCUUUGUAACCGACCUUGUGUAACCCUAACCCUCUUCGGUGUCUAUAUAAACCGAAGGAUUUUAGUCCGUAGGAUAACAACCACAACAUACAAUCAUACCAUAGGUUAGCUUCUAGGGUUUAGCCUCUCUGAUCUCGUGGUAGAUCUACUCUUGUACUACCCAUAUCAUCAAUAUCAAUCAAGCAGGACGUAGGGUUUUACCUCUAUCAAGAGGGCCCGAACAUGGGUAAAACAUCGUGUCCCCGGCCUCCUGUUACCAUUCGGCCUAGACGCACAGUUCGGGACCCCCUACCCGAGAUCCGCCGGUUUUGACACCGACAUUGGUGCUUUCAUUGAGAGUUCCUCUGUGUCGUCGCCGUUAGGCUUGAUGGCUCCUACUAUCAUCGAUACCGAUGUGGUCCAGGGUGAGACUUUUCUCCCCGGACAGAUCUUCGUAUUCGGCGGCUUUGCACUGCGGGCUAAUUCGCUUGGCCAUCUGGAGCAGAUUGAAAACUACGCCCCUGGCCAUCAGGUCAGAUUUAGAAGCUUAAACUACACGGCCAAUAUCCGUGGAGAUUUGAUCUUCGACGGAUUCAAGCCUCUGCCUUGUGCGCCACGCGGUCACGAUGAGCAUGACUUAGCUCUCCCAUUGGACAGUGUUAAGGAGAUCGCAUCGGCAGCCGCUCCGACCCUCAAUUCAGAGCCAGUCGCGCCUUCCGCGGACGGGUGGAUGGACCCCUCCACGGAGGCCUUACCCUCAGCGGCGAUCGAGCGGAACAUCGACCUUGCCUUGCACGAGAGUCGUGUUGUUAAACUACCGGAUCCUUCUCCGGCCACGGACUCCGAACCGCCUGCGCCCGUUCCUAUCGAAUCCGAUUGGGCGCCGAUCAUGGAGUUUACCUCCGCAGAUAUUUUUCAGCACUCUCCCUUUGGAAAUAUACAGAACUCAUUAAGGUCUCUCUCCUUGUCAGGAGAAUCUUGGCCGAACUAUGUCCGGCAAGAUCGGGAUGCGGACGACGAAGAAAUUCGAUGCCCACCCACCACCCACUUAAUAGCCACUAUCGAUGACUCAACCGACAUGCUCGAAUUCGACUCCGAAGACAUCGAUGGUAUGGACAACGAUGCAGGAGACGAAGAGGAACCAUCGCCCACAGGGCGCUGGACGUCCACCUCAUCAUAUGACGUAUAUAUGGUGGACACACCAAAAGAAGACGACGACGAGGAACAGAAGGACGCAACGAAGGCUUGUUCCCUCGAGAAGCAGUCAAAGCGGCGGCGUAAGCGCCGCCCCAAAUCCCGCCUCGGCAGAAAUAACGAUCAUACAGACCUAGCGUUGGAGCAGGGUGAACCACCGCCGGACCACGACAAUACGGAGAAUCAAACCGAACAAACCAAUUCUGUCAAAGAUAAUAGUCCGGACGACAUAACGCCGGACAGGCACCCGGAGCAGCAGAAUGCCCGUCAAAGGCUUGUUGCCACUGCGAGGAGUCUAAAAAAGAAGAAGCAAAGGCUCAAGGCUGCGCAGAACACACUCCAAAUCAGAUGGAGUAAAGUACUCAACACAGCAGCGAAGUACGGCGGCAAUCGCCCCACCAAGAGCUACCCAAAGCGGAAGUUCCUACCUGAAUUCGAUGAGGAGGCCUUAGACCCCCCACAACCAAAAAUUAAAACAACCAUCUAGCCGGAUAGACGACCUCACGGCCAACACAAAGCGGCAAGCAAUGCCGCACAUGAGCCAAUACGCGGUCUACGCGAGGGCUCGCAUUAAAAGGACGGCGAAACCAGAUCCAUCUAUGGACCACGCAAGCGUGCUCCAGCAUAUGAUGCAACACAACAAACAUCCGAACAACGCGGUACACCCAGAUAUAGGGGUGCCGCACACCCCCUAUGUUUUACCGAUGAGGUGUUGGACCAUGAAUUUCCAGAGGGAUUCAAACCCGUAAACAUAGAGGCAUACGAUGGAACAACAGACCCUGGGGUCUGGAUUGAAGACUAUAUCCUCCAUAUCCACAUGGCUCGGGGAGAUGAUCUCCACGCCAUUCAGUAUUUACCCCUCAAACUCAAAGGGCCAGCUCGGCACUGGCUUAAGAGCCUCCCCAAAAGCUCCAUUGGAAGUUGGGAAGAGCUCGAAGACGCCUUUCGGGCAAAUUUUCAAGGGACUUAUGUCCGACCUCCGGACGCGAAUAAUUUGAGUCAUAUAACUCAACAGCCCAGAGAGUCAUCCCGAAAGCUUUGGAAAAGGUUUCUUACUAAAAAGAACCAAAUUGUCGACUGUCCGGACGCCAAAGCCUUGGCAGCUUUUAAGCAUAGCGUCUGUGACGAAUGGCUUGCCAGACACCUCGGCCAAGAAAAGCCGAGAACAAUGGCAGCAUUAACAAGCCUCAUGCCCCGCUUUAGCGCGGGUGAGGAUAGCUGGCUAGCCAGAUGCAGCACCAGCGACCCCAGUACAUCGGGAGUUAGAGAUGGAAACGGGAAAUCACGGCGCAACAAUAAUAACAAACGCCGGAAUAAAGAAGACAGCACGAAGAGCACGGCAGUAAACGCCGGAUUCAAAAGUUCUCGUCCAGGUCAGCAAAAGCCGCCCUCUAAAGGCGCCAGAGAUGAACCGUCCAGCCUAAACAAAAUUCUGGACCAAAUAUGUCAGAUCCAUAGCACCCCUGGUAAACCCGCUAAUCAUACCCACAAAGAAUGUUGGGUCUUCAAGCAGCCCGGCAAGCUCAACGCCGUACACAAGGGGGAGGAUACACCAAGCGAAGAUGAGGAUGAGCCUUUCAAGCAAGACACUGGGGAACAAAAGAAAUUUCCACCAGAAGUCAAAAUAGUAAACGUGUUACACGUGAUCAAGGGGAGAAACAAAACGGCACUCCCAGAAAAAUAUGCCCAAGGGCCUAUCACCGCGGAGUCUUGCCACUGGUCGUCUCAACCGAUCACUUUCGACCAUCGUGAUUACUCAGUAAGUAUCUGGCGUGCACGAUGGGCUGCCCUGGUAUUAGACCCAAUAAUUGACGGAUACCACUUCACACGAGUCCUGAUGGACGGUCGCAGCAGUCUAAACCUGAUAUACCAGGAUACAAUCCGCGAAAUAAGGAUAGACCCAACGAAAAUUUGCCAUAGCAAUACUACCUUUAAAGGAGUGACGCCAGGCCCAGGGGCUCAUUGCAGGGGCUCCCUGCUACUAAAGGUUAUAUUCGGAUUCCCCGAUAACUUCCAUAGCGAACAUUUAACCUUCCGCAUCGCUCCGUUCCAAGGUGGCUAUCAAGCACUACUUGGACGCGAAGCUUUCGCUCGCUUUAAUGCAAUACCACACUAUGCUUCCCUCACACUCAAGAUGCCCGGCCACGUGGCAUCAUUACAGUGAACGGAAGUAUUAAGCGAUCUUUGCGCGCCGAAGAGAAUGCGACUGCCUUGGCAGCCGCACACUAAAAACGGCCUCACCAACUAAAGCAUUUGAUAGGUCGUCAAGACCACGGGCGCGGUUAGACAAGUCCGACGCUGCUAUAUGUAAAUUGUAACGGAUUAAUGGCCACACCCCUAUUACAAAUACAAGGGGCCCAACACACGCAGACAAGUGGCAAUUUAUACUCAUUUCUAGUUAUACAUGGUUUCUUUAAAAACUAUCUCUCUGCACGACAACUUUUUCACCUAAAUUCCUCUCUUUUACAGAUGACCAUUGUGCUACACCCGUCCUGGAUACGGCACAACGGAGACACAGGCGCAGACGUGCAGCAGGGACCCGUUCCAAGGAUUCUUUUUAGAUUAAGACCCUGCGUAAACCUUUUUUACUGUCUCUUGUUGAUACACAUCCACCGAAUUCUCAGCACAAUUGAUAAUGAUGCUGACGUCUUGGCAUGUGGCCACGUCAGAAUAAUGCACGUACCUGGACACAAGGGGCUUCUUACAAAGGGCACUAUUUAGGCCCGGUUUAUACCAUAAAGACCGAACACCUUAGGGAGUGUUCGGCGUCGUGAGUUUGGCCUUAUAUGCAUCAGCUCCGAAUCAUUGUCUUUGGUCAAAUGUUGGGUUUUCCCGGCUCCUGUGUUUUGGUGCCUUACAUUCCGCUUUAUCGGCUAAGGCAGCACCAGGAGAACUACUGCGAUUGUGCCCUGGUUCAUCCGGACGAGCACCUCAGUAGAGAAAGCCGAAAACUGACUGUCAUGAUAUAGCGUGAGACUGGUCAACCACUCGAUGACCUAUCGAAAUGCUAGAAUUCCUCCGCCUUAACGAAGGGCCAUUUUCCGGCCAUGCAUGUACGCACCCCGAGAUCAGGAGAGUGCGGAGCCACCAGGGGCUAUCAAGUAGCCCCACUGUCAAACUCCUAUGGCUAAGUAAAAGUGUUAAAUCAUUAUAGUCCGGUUGCCUCGUUCGUUGCGCUAUCACCUUCUUAAUAGGACCAAGACGUUGGGUUAAGUGUGAACAAGCGUUUUUUGCGAGCACCUCCGCAUUAUAUGCAUGGGGGCUGAAGCCGACGACUGCAAUCUUUCAGGUUAUACACAUGUAUACAUAAACGGCUGCACAGGAGGCAUCAUAUUGCUUUCAGGCAAAAGUAUAAACACAGCCUUAAAAAAUUUCAUAAAAACAUUGUGUUUACAAUGGGAAUACAUGUCACUCAAACAUAAUAUUCUUCAAGCACUGGGACUCUAUCAAACGAGCACCCUCAAGAACCUCCUCGAAAUAGUGCUCGGUAGCCACUCGGCCUAUGGCCGAACCCUACGCCGCAACAACGGUAGCAUCCAUCUCCUCCCAGUAUGCUUUAACACGGGCAAGGGCCAUCCGCGAUCCUUCUAUGCACGCCGACCUCUUCAUCGCAUUAAUGCGCGGCACCGCACCAAGGACCUGCUGCACUAAGCUGAAAUAACUGUUCGGCUUAGGCUUUUCCGGCCAUAGCUGAUCCACAACAGACUUCAUGGCAAGUCCGGACAACCUAUUCAGUUCAGCCCAUUCGGCUAGUUGGUCAGUCAAUGAAAGAGGACGCUCUGGAACGUUGAAUUACGACCAGAAUAGCUUGUCCACUUCACGAUCUGUUUGACCUUGGAAGUACUUGGCCGCAUCGGCAGCGCUCGCCGCCAAGUCCAUAUACGCAUCUGCUGAACUCCACAGCUGAUCCAGAGGGGCAUACUGUGGAUCUCCGAACUUCCUCCAUAGCAUGAAGGGCUUCCCAGCCGCAAUAUCCCCGGCUUCCCACAGCUCCUCCUUCUUCGCUCUCAUAGCAGAGGGGGUGUCUUUUGUCUGCCAUCGUGGCCUUCUCAAGGUCCGUUGCCUUCGCUCGGUUUUCUUUUUCAAGGAGCCGGCAACGGUCGUCGGUGUCUUUUAAUUCUACGGCCAUCUUGGCCAUCUUCUCUUGGCUCUCGCAAUGUGCAGCCUUCUCGGCUUUCAACUCUUCGGCCACCUUCAAAGCAGCUGCAUUACUAAUCCUCGCUUGUUCCUUGGCUCGGGCAAGUUCUGCCCGCAUGGUUUCCACGGUGGCAGCUCCAUCUGCAGUCACAACAUAUUAAAGAUACUGGCAUCAUGCUGCUCUUACUACGUGGUAUUCACCAGAAAAUAACACUUACCAUGUGCCUCGUCAAGCCUCUUGUUAACAAGCUCAAUGUCGGCGUCCGCCGCAUCCAGUUGCCGUUUUAAUUCGGCAAACCCACUAGUCCGGCUAGCCACCGGAGCUUCCACCGCCUGCACAUAAAGGCAGUCUGGUUAUUGCCUGGGACUAUGAUCCUCUGUUCGCCGCCGUUCUCGUCGACAACCAGAGUCUCAGGGGCUACUAUCUACACAGGGCACACCUAACAUGUGCGGUACUAUCACGUACCUCAAAGCCUGUUAGUAGACUCAUAAAGGUUUCAUGUAAUCCGCUUUCGGCAGACGAAAUUCUUUCCAUCACCGUACCCAUCAGCGUACGGUGUUCUUCUGAGAUGGUCGCUCGCCCUAACAGCUCCCUCAGAACGUCCGACCGCAUACCAGACGAUGCCGGACUCUUUUGUUCGCUCUCCUCGAGAGCCGGACACUGGGGACUUCAGGGGUCUAUGGGAUUAUCUUCUGGCCUCACCGGAUCCGGAGAGGCCCUCCGUGACGACACUUCGGGGUCGCCCGCUUCUUGAGCGGAGGAGUCCAGGGGAGGCGUUUCGCUCUCCAUCAUCUCCGAAAGAAGAUCCCCUAAAGACGAGCUCAGCUGAGAAGGGCUAAGACCCGAACUGCAAGAUAUAUGCGGCGGUUAUUUUCUCAGAAGAAAGAUAGUAUACCUUCACUAUUAAAGUAUUUUUUGGAUCACUUACGACUCGUUGGAGGUCUGAUCCCCCCGCGGACUUUAUGCGGCAAAAGCNNNNNNNNNNNNNNNNNNNNNNNNNNNNNNNNNNNNNNNNNNNNNNNNNNNNNNNNNNNNNNNNNNNNNNNNNNNNNNNNNNNNNNNNNNNNNNNNNNNNNNNNNNNNNNNNNNNNNNNNNNNNNNNNNNNNNNNNNNNNNNNNNNNNNNNNNNNNNNNNNNNNNNNNNNNNNNNNNNNNNNNNNNNNNNNNNNNNNNNNNNNNNNNNNNNNNNNNNNNNNNNNNNNNNNNNNNNNNNNNNNNNNNNNNNNNNNNNNNNNNNNNNNNNNNNNNNNNNNNNNNNNNNNNNNNNNNNNNNNNNNNNNNNNNNNNNNNNNNNNNNNNNNNNNNNNNNNNNNNNNNNNNNNNNNNNNNNNNNNNNNNNNNNNNNNNNNNNNNNNNNNNNNNNNNNNNNNNNNNNNNNNNNNNNNNNNNNNNNNNNNNNNNNNNNNNNNNNNNNNNNNNNNNNNNNNNNNNNNNNNNNNNNNNNNNNNNNNNNNNNNNNNNNNNNNNNNNNNNNNNNNNNNNNNNNNNNNNNNNNAAUACCGGAUUUUCCAAACCCUCAGGGAGGGGGGCCAAACACCGAAUCAUCUUCGCCUUUGUUAGCCAGUCCUGGUCAAAGAGCGAACUCUCAGGAAUAACUUCAUGAUGAAUAAAAGACUGUGUGUUCGGCUAGAGGAUUUCUUACUUGUUCGGCGGCGCGGUUACUGCUCAGGCCCACGUCCUCGGUAGUAUCUGGACACUCUAUUUGAGGUUCGAAGAAUGACUUGUACAUCUCCUCGUGCGUCAGGCCGAGGAAACUUGGAAUGGCACACGGUCCUUCUGGGUUGAACUCCCACAAGCGAAGGGGCCGGCGUUUGCAAGGCUGGACUUGACGAACCAGCAUAACUUGUAUUACCACGACCAAAUUAAAAUCUCCCUCGAAGAGAUCUCGAAUGCGGCUUUGCAGUAUAGGCACGUCCUUGGCUGGACCCCAGUUCAGACCUCUGCUAAUCCAUGACAUUAGUUGUGGUGGGGGGCCCGAGCGGAAAGCGGGGGCAGCCGCCCACUUGGCACUUCUGGGAGCCGUGACGUAAAACCACUCCCGUUGCCAUAAUUCGGACACCUCUGGAAAGGAACCUUUCGGCCAUGAAGCUCCUGCCAUCUUGCCUAUUGAUGCACCUCCGCACGCUGCAUGUUGCCCCUCGAUCAUCUUCGGCUUCACUUCAAAGGUCUUGGGCCACAGGCCGAAGUGAGGGGUAAUGCAGCGGAAGGCCUCACACAUGAUAAUAAAUGUCGAGAUGUGGAGAAAGGAGUCCGGAGCUAGAUCGUGGAAAUCUAGCUCGUAAUAGAACAUCAAACCCCUGACGAAGGGAUCCACAGUGAGGCCUAGGCCUUGGAGGAAGUGGGAGAUGAACACGAAGUUCUCGUUGGGUUCGGGAGUAGGGACGACCUGCCCUCGAGCAGGUAGCCGAUGCGAAACCUCGGCGGUCAGGUAUCUGGCUUCCUUCAACUUCUUGAUGUCCUCUUCCGUCACGGAGGAGGGCAUCCAUCGGCCUUGAAGGCUGAAUCUGGACAUGAUUGAAGAUCCGGAGCACCUAACCUGGGCUUUGGGUAUUGGAACUCGAGACGGGGGAAGGGUUCGAUUGAGCACGAGAGGGAAAAAGCGAAAACCUUGUCCCUUUAUAAAGAGGGUGAAUAUCAAGCGUCCUCUCCAUAGCCGUUUAGGGCUUGCCUAUAAUCUAGGAGUCCUAGACACGGUUGGUGUUGGAAGCCUACCGUUGCUGGCUCAACUAGAGGACCGAGUCCCACGUAGUUCAUGCACCGGACAUUCCCUCCUUUUCUGUUACACGAUGUGCAUGACCUCCUGUAGAGCUGGGUCGUUACCAGCCUCUGUACCUGUAUAUUAACCCCUUCGUGGGCAUCAAUGAUAAUCACCAGUGUAUUCAUUCUCCAUCUUGGUAAUCAGAGCUCUCUUUCCUAUCCCUGUCUCUCAUGGACACUGGCAACAGCUCCGGCGGCCUUUCGAGCGGCGACCUGACGGGCGCCAUCCCUCCCGCUCCCGCUCCGGUGCUCUCCUCUUCUGAACUCUCCACCCCCGUCCUCUCCGCUCCGCCAGCAACCGCCCCUAGCACCAUGAGCUUGGUGACCCUGCCGUCGCCUCCCACCCUCCCUGACAUAGCGUCGUCCUCUGCCACCACUACCCCCUCCAUCCACACCCUCAACAACAUCCACAACCUCAUCCCCUUCAAGCUGGAUGUCCAAACCGGCAGCUAUUCAAAGUGGCGUGAACUCUAGCACUGCAUCCUCAUCAUGUACGCCGUCGAGAGCCAUGUCGACCACUACUCCGACCCACUGCUCCAAACUCCGGCGUGGCGCCACACCGAUCUGACACUCCUGCUUCUGCUCUACUCCACCAUCACCGACGGCCUGUACGAGGUCAUCCGUGGCGCCGGCAACACCAUGCAUCGCGUCUGGAGCCAACUCCACAAGUUCUUCCUCGCCAACCAACUCGCCCAGGCCGUGCACCUUAGUGCGGAAUUCCGCGCCCUCACCCAGGGGGAUCUCCGCAUCGCCGAGUACUGCGGGCGCCUCAAAGCGCUCGCGGACGCUCUGGCCGACGUCGACGAGCCCGUCACCGAUCGCACCCUGACACUGCAGCUUCUCCGCGGCCUCUCUCGUAGGUACCAGGUGAUCGCCACGGUCAUCCCGAUGCAUACUCCCUUCCCAUCCUUCAACCAGGCCCGUUCCCGUCUUCUUCUGGAGGAAAUCACCCAGGACGCCCAUGAUCGCUCCGACGGAUCUACCGCUCUCGCCAUCGGCCACGGCGGCGGCGGCGGCCAUGGCGACGGUGGCGGCGAGGGCUCCGGCGGCUCCUCCGGCCCACCUCCCUCAUCUGGCGACCGCGGCAAGGCUCCCAUGGAGCGCGGCAACAGCAGCACCGGUGAUCGCGGCCACGGACACAACGGUGGACGCGGGCGUGGCCGCGGGCGCGGACGCGGGUACAAUGACGGCCGCGGUUCGCCUGCUCUUCCUCCCGGCGGCUCCACUCCAUGGAUGGGCUACUUCGCACCGUGGGGGACGCCCUUCCUGCCGCCGCGCGCUCCCUGAGUUCCACCCAACGCAGCCGGGGUCCUCGGGCCUCGCCCCGGUGCUGCCCAGCACGCCUACCCCGCGCUGUACACUGGACCCGGCGUGCCACCCCAACCCUCUUGGGAUUAGGCGGCGCUCUAUUCCGCUAUGAACCAGAUGUCUCUCCAGUAGCCCGGCAGUGGCAACGGCGACUGGAUCUUUGAUUCCGGUGCCCCCUCCCAUGUCACUGGUAAUGCAGGUAACCUCGCCACUUCUCAUCCUGUCUCAAAACAUCAUGCUCCCAUCAUCGUUGGCGACGGCAUUCGUCUGCCGGUAGUUGCCACCGGCACCGCCUCCAUCCCCACAUCCUCUCGCCCCUUGCUGCUUCAUAACGUUCUCGUAGCACCUGAUAUUGUUCAAAACCUACUCUCUGUCCGUCAACUAUCCACUGAUAAUAAUGUAUCCGUUGAGUUUGACCCCCUCGGCUCUUUUGUGAAGGAUCUAGCCACCCGGACCCCCCUCAUGAGGCGCACUAGUUUCGGGCCUCUCUACCGCAGCGGCGCAUCCAGCUCUUCGGCGUUCUACACCAACUCCGGCGACCUGUGGCAUCGCCGUUUGGGGCACCCCGGCAGUGCCUCUCUUUCCCGUUUAGCACACAUUUUCUUCCCGAUUGUAAUAAUCUCCCUGCCGCCUCUGGAUCAUGUGAGGCGUGCCAAUUAGGGAAGCAGCCACGUCUGCCUUUUUCUUCUUCUUCUACCUCUGUUACUUGUUUUCCUUUUCAGCUUGUACACUGUGAUCUUUGGACGUCUCCCGUCCCUAGUUGCUCUGCCUGCAAAUAUUACUUAAUAAUAAUGGAUGAUUUUUCCCACUUCGCAUGGACUUUUCCCCUCCGUGCCAAAUCCGAGGCCACUGAAGUUCUCAAACGUUUCUUUCGCUUCGUACUCACACAAUUCCAUGUCGAUAUCCAGAGCGUCCAGUGCGAUAACGGCGGCGAGUUUCUUAACAUCUCUCUCCACUCUUCUCUAGGUGAACAUGGCACUGCCCUACGCCUCUCCUGCCCGCACACAUCACCCCAAAAUGGGAAAGCUGAGCGCGCCAUCCGCUCCACAAACGACAUACUUCGCACACUUCUUGUCCAAGCCAGCAUGCCCCCAAAAUUCUGGGUGGAAGACCUUCAUACUACCACAUACCUCCUCAAUAUACGACCCUCCCGAGCCAUCAACCACAACACACCAUACUUCAUGCUUUACGGUACUCACCCCAACUACGACCACAUUCGCAUAUUUGGCUGUUUGUGCUACCCCAAUCUCUCCGCCACCACUCCCCACAAACUUUCCGCACGCUCCACACCCUGCGUUCUUCUCGGCCUACCCCUCGAGCACAAAGGAUACCGGUGCCUCGACAUCUCCACACGUAAAGUUAUCACCUCCCGGCACAUGAUUUUCAACGAGCAUAUUUUUCCCUUCGCCACAGAAAAUCCCACUGCCCCCAGCCCCGUAUCCACCUCGGGAUCCCUCCCACCUACCUGGUCCAAUCCGACAGGAUUGUCCUCGGGAUUCCCCGCCCCAGUCGCCCCACCCCACGCACCCGAUCGCGUCACUCCCAACCAAUCCGCCCGCUGCGCCCCCACCGCUGCGCUCACUCCCGCUGGCCCACCACUCACCACCACCACUCCGGUCCCAACUCCCAGACCCCCCCAGUCGGCAGCUAGCUCACCAUGCAGCCAAUCGCCUGCCCGCUCACCAUGCAGCCAAUCCGCGACAUCCUCGCCAUGCACGUCGCCCCGCGCUCUCGCCCCGCCUCUGGCUGCCUCCCCACCAACCUCCCCGCCUCNNNNNNNNNNNNNNNNNNNNNNNNNNNNNNNNNNNNNNNNNNNNNNNNNNNNNNNNNNNNNNNNNNNNNNNNNNNNNNNNNNNNNNNNNNNNNNNNNNNNNNNNNNNNNNNNNNNNNNNNNNNNNNNNNNNNNNNNNNNNNNNNNNNNNNNNNNNNNNNNNNNNNNNNNNNNNNNNNNNNNNNNNNNNNNNNNNNNNNNNNNNNNNNNNNNNNNNNNNNNNNNNNNNNNNNNNNNNNNNNNNNNNNNNNNNNNNNNNNNNNNNNNNNNNNNNNNNNNNNNNNNNNNNNNNNNNNNNNNNNNNNNNNNNNNNNNNNNNNNNNNNNNNNNNNNNNNNNNNNNNNNNNNNNNNNNNNNNNNNNNNNNNNNNNNNNNNNNNNNNNNNNNNNNNNNNNNNNNNNNNNNNNNNNNNNNNNNNNNNNNNNNNNNNNNNNCCCUCCAUGCGCGGUGCCCGUCCUACCACCCAAAAACAGCCACCCCAUGCGCACACGAGCCAAAGCCGAUUUCCUCCAACCAAAAUCCCUCUUCACUCUCGCAGCCACCACCGAUCGCAUCUCUCCUCUCCCUUCCUCCUACAAACACGCCCUCAAAGACCCAAACUGGUACAACGCGAUGCUUGAGGAGUAUACUGCUUUGUUACAAAACGAGACUUGGCCGUUGGUUUCUCCCCCUGCAGGUGUCAACGUGGUGACGGGGAAAUGGAUCUUUCGCCACAAGCUGAACCCCAACGGCUCCCUCGCUCGGUACAAGGCGCGUGGGUCCUGCGUGGCUUCACUCAACAACAUGGCGUCGACUUCGAGGAGACCUUCAGCCCCGUCGUCAAGCCGGCGACCAUCCGUGUCGUCCUCAGCCUCGCCGUCUCCGCCGGCUGCGCCAUCCAUCAGCUGGAUGUGAAGAACGCAUUUCUUCACGGCCACCUCGACACCGUCGUCUACAACCAGCAGCCAUCCGGGUUCGUCGACGCUGCGCACCUGUCUCACGUGUGUCGCCUGCAUUGCUCACUCUACGGGCUCAAACAGGCCCCCCGGGCAUGGUUUCAGCGCUUCACCACCUACCUCGCGCGUCUCGGCUUCGUUGUAUCCAAGAGUGACAACUCUCUCUUCAUUCUUCAUCGCGACGGCGCCACCGCUUAUCUCCUCUUAUACGUCGAUGACAUUAUCCUCACUGCCAGCUCCGCCUCCCUGCUCCACCAUGUCAUCUCCCAACUCCACCAUGAGUUUUCCAUGACUGACCUCGGCGAGCUCCAUCAUUUCCUAGGGAUCAAUGUCACACGCAGCUCCCGCGGCUUGUUCCUCUCGCAACACCAAUAUGCUCUCGAGAUACUUGAGCGCGCCCGCAUGAGCAAUUGCAAGCCCAUCGCCACCCCCAUCGACACUCGCGCAAAACUUUCCGCCACCGACGGUGCUCUUGUUUCUGACCCGUCCCUCUACCGCAGCUUGGCCGGCGCUCUACAAUAUCUCACUCUCACACGACCCGAUAUCACCUAUGCCGUUCAACAGGUCUGCCUCUUCAUGCAUGAUCCCCGGGAGCCGCACUUCAUCGUCCUCAAACGCAUCUUGCGCUACAUUCGCGGUACCCCGCAGCUCGGCCUUCACCUCCGGCGCUCCUCCAACCACCGCCUCGUCGCCUACUCUGACGCCGACUGGGCGGGUUGUCCUGACACCCGCAAGUCCACGUCGGGCUAAUGCAUCUUCAUCGGCGACAACCUCGUCUCUUGGUCCUCCAAGCGGCAACAGACCGUCUCCCGGUCCAGCGUGGAGGUGGAAUACAGGGCGGUGGCCAAUGCUGUGACCGAGGCGUGCUGGCUGCGUCAACUUCUGCACGAGCUACGGCGUCCUCCGGAUCGGGCAACAAUCGUCUACUGCGACAACGUGAGCGCCAUGUACCUCUCCACCAACCCUGUGCAGCAUCAGCGCACGAAACAUAUCGAGAUCGAUCUUCAUUUCGUGCGUGAGCGGGUUGCUUUUGGCGAUGUACGCGUCCUCCACGUCCCGUCUGCAUCGCAGCUCGCCGAUAUCUUCACGAAGGGGUUGCCAUCGACCGUCUUCCUCGACUUCCGGUCCAGCCUCAACGUGCUCGACGACCCCGUUGUGGCUGCGGGGGGCUGUUGGAAGCCUAUCGUUGCUGGCUCAACUAGAGGACCGAGUCCCACGUAGUUCAGGCACCGGACGUGCCCUCCUUUUCUGUUACACGAUGUGCAUGACCUCCUGUGUAGCUGGGUCGUUACCAGCCUCUGUACUUGUAUAUUAACCCCUUCGUGGGCAUCAAUGGUAAUCACCAGUGUAUUCAUUCUCCAUCUGUUGGGUUACCCACGACCGCAUUAACGAGAAUCCCGUAAUUGGGGGAACACGAUCUCUGCUUUGACAAGACGUGUCAAGAAACCGCCUCGCAUUAUGUGUGGAGCUGGUUGAAGAAAAAUGGUUCGAAUAAUCACCGGGCCAUGACAUAACGUCAUGCUGCCAAAACAAGUCAGCAAAUUAGAAUUGCAAAAAUAUUAUUCUCUCUACGGUGGUAUAUGGAACUUAUUUUGCAGAGUCGGACACUAUCCUCGUUUUCAAAUUCUUCUGUGAUGUAUUCAGAGAAGGAACCCGCCUUGCAAUGCCGAAGACAAUACCGCGCGCCGGACUCAUCGUCAUUGAAGCCUGGUUCAGGGGCUACUGAGGGAGUCCUGGAUUAGGGGGUCUCCGGACAGCCGGACUAUCUCUAUUGGCCGGACUGUUGGACUAUGAAGAUACAAGAUUGAAGACUUCGUCUCGUGUCCGGAUGGGACUCUACUUGGCGUGGAAGGCAAGCUAGGCAAUACGGAUAUGGAUAUCUCCUCCUUUGUAACCGACCUUGUGUAACCCUAACCCUCUCGGGUGUCUAUAUAAACCGAAGGGUUUUAGUCCAUAGGAAAACAACCACAACAUACAAUCAUACCAUGGGCUAGCUUCUAGGGUUUAGCCUCUUCGAUCUCGUGGUAGAUCUACUCUUGUACUACCCAUAUCAUCAAUAUCAAUCAAGCAGGACGUAGGGUUUUACCUCCAUCAAGAGGGCCCGAACCUGGGUAAAACAUCGUGUCCCCUGCCUCCUGUUACCAUCCGGCCUAGACGCAUAGUUCGGGACCCCCUACCCGAGAUCCGCCGGUUUUGACACCGACAGCGAGCUAUGCUUGAUGGAAGGGACAUUUUUAAGCAAGGCAUUAUCAAGAGGAUUGGGAAUGGCCACAACACUAAUAUCUGGGAGACCAACUGGCUUCCUAGAAUAGGCCCUUUGCGACCGAUCACUUCGCUAUCGGUAAAUUCACCAACGCUAGGAGCCGAACUAAUCGAUAACACAUCAGCGUCUUGGCGAGAGGAGCUGAUUCAUGCUACGUUUUUACCCGUCGACGCGGAUGCUAUUAUGGCCCUCCCACUCUGCACGAGGUCGGUGGAGGACUUCUGGGCUUGGUCUGGCGAGCGGCAUGGUAUUUUCUCUGGCAGAUCGGCUUAUAGAAUGAUAUUGAACAAGAAGUAGCACCGAGAAAAUUGGCUAUAUGAGCAUGCAGGGGCGUCAGAUUUGAGGGAAAGCUCUAAUGCUUGGACAGCGUUGUGGCACACUAGGGUUCCAUCUAAAAUGAAAGUUUUUAUAUGGCGGCUAGCAAGACAUUCGAUGUCGACAGCGGAUCUUCUCCAACAUCGAAAUAUGUCCACGUCCCACUUAUGCGCCUUAUGUGGGUGUGAGGAUUCAUGGAGGCAUGCCCUGCUAGAUUGUACUACGUCAAGAUGCAUAUCAUCCUUAGUUGAAAAUUCUCUGACGGAAGUCGUGAGCCAUAACAGGGAUCCUAAUGCGAAGAACCGGCUUCUUGCAAUGAAUGAUGUACUAUCCUAAAAGGAUCUUGUUCCUCUAGUAGUAACGUUAUGGGCUGUUUGGAAAGCAAGACGAUGCUGUGGUUGCAACCAAUCGGUGACGAGGAGUUGCGGCUGCUAUAUGCCGGGAUCACGAUGGUACGUUUCAGGGGGCAUCGGCUAUAGUUAUCAAGGGAAUAUGUGAUCCACAAACUUUAGAAGCCCUAGCUGUGCGGGAGGCUCUAGCCCUUGCUGAUGUUCUCAAUCUUCAAUGGAUACAUGUUGCUUCAGAUUGUAAGGUGGUUUUGGAUGAUCUCAAGCAGGGGAACAAGGCAAGAUAUGGAGCUGUUAUACAUGAAAUCAUGGAUCAUAACUUUUCUUUUACAACUUGUAACUUUUGCCAUGAGUUUAGAAGUUCGAAUUUCGAGACUCACAAUCUAGCGAAGCAUGUCUUAAGGUUAGGGGUGGGCGGCCAUGUUUGAUUAGGGCACCCCGGUGAUAUUUCUUUUGUACCUAUAAACUUUGGGUCCGGUUAAAUAAACUUCGCGCGAUUGUCUAAAAAAAACCUACUUGCAUGAUUACCAAGGAGAACCCUUUCAUACAGGUAUACGUCGGCAGAUUUCGACAAAGGUAUUACGGCAGUUGUCUUUUUGCUUGUCCCAAGCUGGAUAUGACGGCAAGUUUAAUUUCUUGGACUACAUAGUAGUGUUCUCGAUGGCGCCAAUUCUAGAUGGUCCUCAAGCUUUUGGUUUUGCAACUAAACCUAAUACUCCCUUCAUUUUUGUAUACAAUGUCAUUAUCAAAAUUACAAUUUGCAACUAUACAAGGCCACUAACAUUAAUCGAGGCAAAAUUGAUGGCGUUUGUCUCGUAGUAGCACCCAAGAACAUUAAUAUCCCUUGUGUGAAUGCGGGAGUGAGAAGGUUGGCUUGCAUUCCCAACAUUAAUCAACCAACGAGAAGUAAGAGGGUUGGCUUGUUGUGCGUGGGAGAGAAAAACUACAUUAAUUAACACGACAAACAAGGUGACAAGCUAGCUUGCAACAUUGACUUAAACAUUGUAUUGAUUUUUACCUUGGUAUCUGUAAUAUGGGUCUGUGGCCUUGUAUACAAAAAUGGAGGGAGUAUAAUAAAUAGAAAUGUGAGUAAUUUCAAUUUUCUUCGUUUCAGCUUUUACUCCAUUUAGGAAAGGUUUUCUACUACCUGCUCACUAAUAAUGAGCUAAAACGACUUAUAAAAAUUUACAGAGGGAGUACUUUUUACACCAUUUCGUGAUCUAUGAGGUGGGUCCUGAAUUUGGAGUGGUGUGAAAGACAAAUUGUAAUACUUUCUUUUUUCAAAAUCUUCUUAGUUGAGUCGAACAACUAAACUAAAAAAAUCUGUUUAGUUGGAUACAACUUUUUCUCACGAUCGUCGGGUCUAUGUAACGCACACCUUUGUCUUGAUACACCAUUUUCUUCACAUCACCAAGCUACUUGCUCUUUCUUUCACCUCAUUUUUCUUCACAAUAUUUGCUUUCGCUUGUCGCAUCAUAUUAGACAUAAAUCAUCGACGCUUUACCUGACAAAAGAACCACUCGAGGAGUUAUGGCCCCAUGACCCCCAAGUAUAACUACGGAGGACAGAAGAGGCCUAUUGAUCAUAGGGUGGCUCAAACCUGCGAUUCUGUGUAGCGUAGCACCACUUUUGGGGGGCAAGAGGUAGACUCCUCUUCGUACUCCCUCUGGUUCUGUUUCACAAAAUUUUCUGAAACUAAACCUAAUAUAAUAACUUUUUCAGUUUUCCCACCUAUUUUCAAAAUCUAUUUUGGCCUUAGUUACCCUGCUCAACUUUCAUAAACGCCCAUGACCUCUCGUAGUGCUUCUCCAUGGGACAAUGAAGGGCUGCAAGUGGGAGGAGAGAGGGCAUUGAGGAGGGUGAGGAGACGUGAUGAUGUAGGGUCGUCUUUCAUAACAGGUGCUCCAGGAUGCCUCAAUGUUGUUCUAGUACAAAUAACAACGUAAAUUGGGGUGCCAUAAUGCUAGCAAGCGUCACAGUCGGCAUUUGUAACAAUGGGCGUAUAUGGCAGCGAUUUAACGGGUUGACGUAUACUUGCGAGAUCACACAACGUUAUUGGUUUGACCUUGUUCGGCCACUACUCCAUACUGUGGCCUUGUCCCUUUGAGGGAUGUAGCCUCGAUUACAAUUUGUCUACACGAUACAACUUCAAUGGUGACCCUUGUUGCUCGACUGGGGUGAUCGGUGAAAACUUACCCAAACCCACUAUCCAAAUAGAAGCGUAGAACUCAACAUUCAUCCGAGUCUGUUUUCAACUAGAAACCUAAACCUCAUAGAUAACCUCACGAGAGCGUGGAGUAGAAUUGGAUGAUUUCUUUGCGUAAUUCUUUUUUGUACGAAAAACUAGCUUUUAUUAAUUUUAAAAUUUCAUGUACUUCGAAGCUAACAUUCAUGACUACAUAAAUUCAAUAUAUCUCAAAACGAUGAUUAUGUGUUUUAGACUAAAAUAUGCAUAUAUUUGAAAACAAAUAUUUGUUACUUCUAAAAAAUGGUUUACAUGCAAAAUCAUAUACGAUGAUAAAAAAGACAAAGCUAUAUCAAAUAUUUAAAAAAUAAAAUCAAUAAGUGGAGUAAAUAGUGAAAAAAGCGAAAAGGAGGAGUAAAGAAAAUGAAAAUGAAAAAUGACCUGAUAGUGGACCGACCCAACUAUGCAGGACACAGGAUUCUUGUGUAGUGCGGCUUGCAAGAAAAAAAAAAUUGAGAGAGAAGGUUUGCAAAAUUUGGGGAAACGUUGAUACCGUGUGAGAUUAGACUGACCACUCUGGCCCAGUAAUUCAUAUAUAUAUUACAAAAGUAAUCACUGGUUUUCUAUUAAUGGAAACAAUUAUUUUUAUUAAUGGAGGAAAUUUAAAUAUAUAAUGAAUAUUCAUGCAACUGUAAAUAAACGUUUAUGAAAUUUUAAAACAUGUGCAUCUCAUAUUUUAAAAUUGUUCGCUACAUAGAGAAAAAUUCAUAUAGUCCGUCCUCGCCAAAUUGUGGUGCAUAUAUUUGUUUUCCAAAGUCCAACUCAAUGAGUUAUAGUAAAAUAAGAACAUUUACAAUACUGAAUACAUAACAUACAAAAAUAUAUUUCAUGACAAAUCCUUUGGUACUGUAAUUGUCGAUAGUUUUUAUAUGAAUUUGGUCAAUGUUUGCAAAGUUUGGCUUUUCAUAAAACUUAUCUGCAUUAUUAUUUGGCAAGAAAAUUCCCCACAAAAAAACUUGGCUAGAAAGAAAGUAUAUAUUAAUCUUUUCAAAGACUGAAAAUCCAUCUCUGCACCCGAGCUCAUCUGCACCCGCGCUAACGAAAAAAAUCAAAAAAAUGCUAGAAAAAUUAAAAAAAUCCUUUUUUCUGUGGUAAACAAUUUGAUGCAUGAGGUAUACGCUCCAAUUUUCAAAUUAUUUGAACAUCUGAGAAGCUCUCAAAAAAAGGGGGGUCUGUAAAAAUGUUUACUGUUCAUGUACUGUUUUGACCCGAUUUGUCUUUUUUGCUGAGAGCUGCUUAGCUGUCCAAAUGACUUGAAAUGUGGAGCGGGCCUCACGCAUCAAAUUUUCUACCGCACAAAAAAAUUGCGGAAUUUUUUGAUUAUUGUUUGAAUUUGUUACGAUUUUUUUUCUAACCAGGUGCAGGGCACCGAAACGCCCUACUCAAGCUUUGAAGACAGGUUUUCACGUAAUUUUGGAAUUUUUUUUACAUAUUUUAUCUUAAAAAACAAAAAUGAAAAGGGAAAUGGGAGAAUAUUGAGAACCACGGAGAAGAAAGAACACGGGACAAAUGGAAAAAGAAAAAACAAAAACAUUUUGCACCGAUGAGGCGCUUCUUUCUUCCGCAAUGGGUGAUAUAUAGGAAUCGGGAGCGCAGCGCAUACGAUAGUGCACAUGCUGGAGUUUUCUCCUAACAUUGAAAAAUAAAAGUUUUCUCCUAAAAUAAUCGAGCACGGCUAGCUCCUGCCAAAUGUCGAAAGAGAAGUGUAUAUCUUCACUAUGUAUACAAGUGUUACGAUUGAUAGUAGUUCUCCGUGCCCACGUCAUGCCAAAUGUAAAAGGAGAAGUUUAUAUCUCAUUAUUAUGUAUACAACUAUAAGUAGGAUUGAUAGUAAUUCUCCAUGCCUUUGCAUUAGAAAGUGGGAAUUCGAUCGUUACACAAUAUGUGGAUGCAUGCAUGAUUUGCUGCUGCUCGUACAUAAAAUACACAUUUCAAGUGCUGGUAUUUAUAUUGGCUAUUGGUUCUGUGGCCUUAUUCAUUCAUCAGGUGUCGUGCUGGCGAGCGCUGCCGACUAUUAGGUAGUAGCUCGUCAUUCAAUCACGAGUUCACCCUGGAGCAGCUAAGCCUGAUCUGCCCUUGCGUCCCCAUCUUCGGCGCGAUGUUGCCCAUCUUGAUCAUGGCCGUCGUGAACGCGCUGCUGAACGCCGCCGGGUUGGACGCGAAGUUCCGGACGGUGUUGUCGGUGGUGUCGUUGUUGAACAGCACCUGGUCCGAGUGCAGGAGCCCCUUCUGUGACAUGAGGUUGGUGUAGUAGGCGUUGUGGAGCGUGUUGGCCGUGGUCGUGUCCAGGUUCGCCAGGCUGCCGUCACCGUUGGACCGGGGGCAGUUGGCCCGGAGAGAUGUGGCGAAGGUCGUGUCGAUGUUAGUCUCGUUGUAGAUCCUGUCCUUGAAGGUCCCGCACUGCGCCUGGCCGAUGGUGUGCGCGCCGGAGAGGGCCACCAUGUCGACCGUAAGGAGGCCCUUGUUGCUGAAUGCCAGCUCAAGAUCUGACCGGCUAGAUGUAGGGCCUGGGAGGUCGCUGUUUGCCGCCGCCUCGUUUGCAUCUAUGGAAUCCCUUCUUCCCAGAGGGACUUCCAUGAUGGCCCUCCGAGCUGCACGCGAAGGAUACGAAGCAAACGGUUAACGAUGGCAUCCAAUCGAUGAUGUACACGAUCGUAAGAUGAUAUUCUUACGGCGACGACGGAGUCACGGGCAGCGACAGUGAGGAUGUCGGCGCAGGAGACGGUCUGGGCGCAGAUGGCCUCGAUCUGUGUCUUGAUGCUGUCGAUGACGCCGAAACCCCGCAGUGACCCGUUGUUCGGGAUAGCGUUUUGUUCCAUGCCAGACAGCAGAACAGACGCGUCACAGCCCUGCACAUCACAUGCUUAUAGUGUUUAGUAAGCAAAACCUAUACAAAACAGGGUACGUGACGGCUAUCGGGCUAUGCAUGCAUGUGGCCAACUUACUUGGACGAAGCAGUCGUGGAAGUGCAGCCGGAGCAGCGACGCGCCCAUCCGAGGAUCGCUGCUCACGGCGGCCAUGACGCCGCUCUUGAUGGUGGCCAGGGCCCUUGUGCAGGAUGUGUCGUAGAACGUCGGCGACAGCUGCCCCGACACCACGGCGGCCAGAGCCACGAGCACCACCAGAGAAAGGUAAGAGGCAGAGGCGGCCAUGGUUAGCUAGCUAGCUACAAGAGCAAAGCUACGCCGGCUUACUAGCUACCUGGUGGUGGUGGAGUGGUGGUGCUUAGUGGAUUGUGCAAGAGAGUGGUGCAUCGCAUGCAUAUUUAUAGACAAAGAUUUAGCUCACGUGCACCUGCAGAUCGAUCCCGGUCAGCUCAUCCAAAAUUUAGGUCCCAUUAGUCCAACGUUAGUCUCUGACACCUGUUCGAUCGGGUAUACCGCGAGCUUCCUGCUUGAGCGAUCUCUCUUGGCGUAUUCAAGGCAGCUUCCAGCUUGAGCCGCUACCGCCAACACCAACACCUGAAUUUUCCUUGCAACAGGGCCAACUUGAGCGAUCUCUCUUGGCGUUUAUCACGCAAAAAUCGGCAAAACAUGGAACGAUCUCUCUUUUUUCAUCAUUUCCAUGCUAGCGGGCGCCUGGAGCCAUGUGUGCGUGGACACCAACCAUUUGGCCUUACGUACGAAUAGUGGUGGGGAGUCGGCGUUGUUCCAAGGCGAUUCACGCUCGUUUUGACCGGUGCGCAGUCAUCUUGCGCUCCCGUCGCCUUCGGCCAACACGAGAUAAUUCGGCAGCUGAGACAGUACUGAGAGAUAAGCCUGGCUUCUCAAACGCACGGUGGGAAUGUUGAGGCAGAACUGAGGCCGCACAGCCGCAGGCCAGCACCGACGGACGUUUAGGCCGGCCGUAACGUGGCCCGAUCUGUAGGCCAGAUGCAUUUUCUUAGGCUUCCUUGCCUCCGAAGAAUUGCUGGUUAGAUUUGAGUUUCUGAAGCAUGGGCAGGAUGAACAACGGAAGUUGAGGCGGCAUUACCGUGUGUAUUUUUUUCCCAGAAACUAUAACUACAAUUGGUCGAACAUUGCUUGUUAAGUCGGUUGUUUCCUCCCAAGCGGUGUACUCCAUCACACCUCUCAUCGUCCAACCGAGCACUCUCCAAAACCUCAACAAAAUUGAGCGGGAUUUUCUUUGGUCUGGCUCUGACAAGACGACAGGUGCCGAGUGUAAGGUCAACUGGAAGAUUGUAUGCUAUCCCAAUGAGUACAGUGGCCUUGUCGUCCUCAACAUUGCCAAAUUUACGAGAGCUCUGGGCCUUUGUUGGCCGUGGUAUGAAUGGAAAGAGCCUAACAAGUUGUGGGUGGGGCUUGGAAAUCCAUGCACCUAGUAGGACCUAGAUUUUUUAUAUGCUUCCACCACUAUCAUUGUGGGCAAUGGCGCGAAGACACCAUUUUGGGACUCCCCAUGGCUCCUUGGCCAUAGGCCUAAGGGCAUUGCGCCGCUCAUUCUUGAAGCCUUGAGAAAGAAGAAUUGUAAGGUGCGCGAAGCCCUUAAAGAUAACGCUUAGAUCCUCAAGAUCAAACGAAACAGUAUCAUCUUUGCUGCCCACAUUUGGCAGUUUUUUACUAUUUGGAUGCUUGUGCAUGAGUUCCCUCUUGAUGAACUUGUGGAGGAUGACAUUCGCUGGAAGCACUCGAAUGAUGGAAUAUAUUCGGCAUCCACUGCAUAUAAAAGCACAAUUUCUUGGGAUUACUCUUUACCCAAUGGAUCGCAUGAUAUGGAAGGUUUGGGCUCCACCAAAAGUCAAGUUCUUUUCUUGGCUCGCGAUCCAAGAUCGGAUUUGGACGGCCAAUUGCUUGGAGAAGAUGGGAUGGGCAAACUAUGGGCUUUGCCCACUGUGCAAGAGAGAGCAGGAAGCCAGACCGCAUCUUUUCUAUAAAUGUUGCUUCUCCUUCGACUCUGGCGUUUGGUCCUUGAGAAAUUUGGCCUUCCUCACGAUGACACUUUGACUUGGCACAACGAGGACUCGAUGUUGGCUUUGGUGAGACAAGAGGACAGAUGCUAGAACCGCGAAUAGACGUGCGAGGACGUCCCUAACCAUGCUUGUCUAAUGGACCCUCUGGAAUGAGAGGAAUGCUAGGGCCUUCUGACACAAGAGUGCGCCGCCCCCAUCGUUGUUGCGCUUAAUUGUUGAUGAGGCUAGAAUUUGUGUUACCACGGGUGCUAAACACCUAGGGCUUAUUGUGUUGAGUGAGUAAUUGUCAGGACAUGAUAUCGAGUUACUUGUAAACCUCUAACUUCUUCUUAUUUAAUAGAUGAGGCAAAUAUUAUGCCGCCGUUUCAAAAGUAAUAAUAAUGAGAACUAGGCUAUAGCCUAGUGGCAAGGGAGCGCAGUGGCGUCUCCAGCAACCAGGGUUCGAGCCACGUCGGGGAUGAAUUUCUGGUUUCUCACAAGGGAUGCUUCUCCUAUAUCAAUAAACCAUGGGUGCUAGUGCCCAUGAGUUUCAUCUUUUUAAAAGUAAUAAUAAUAGGGUUACAAUCGGCUACCACGAGAACCAUGUACUACAAUCGGGGAUAUGGUGCAACAAACAUGAGGCGUACCAUGGGAUCUACCAUAAUUAGUUAGGGGCAACCCUUGUCUGUUCAUGACUAAUCUCCUAAGGAUAAACACAUGACCUUUAAGGAGCUUUCUGAUAUCAAACAACAUGUAACCAUACAUGCAUCUUGUAAGACGAUGUGGUUUCUUUUAAAAGAAAUCGGAGAGGUGACUCUCUUUAUUAAAAAAACAUACAUGCGUCGAUCAAAGCUAGACUUAGCUGACAGAGUAACGGACCAGUCCGACUGAAUAUGAAGGUGUCAUUGGACCACUGUAAAGCUGAGAGCUAAGCUUUCCAUAAGCACACUAAUUUCAGCCUCUAAUGCGUCAUUUCAAUUGAGUAGAUAUCGACAAGAUGCAAAUAUAGUCCAGCCUGUUGGGUUCCGCAAUAACUGCCUGUAUAACAAAUAACUAAAUUCGUACUCAAGAUAUUCAUUAAAGCUAAUUCCACAGACCCAAGCAUGCGUGUACAGAGACAACUCCAAUAAUAGCCAAGCCCUGUUAGACUGUAGGGUUGCCCAUGCCUAAGUCUAUCUACUUGUAGUUGGGUUCUCUAUACGACCAUCAACACUGUUUUGGUCUAACUUAACCUUCUCAACUCGCAUAGAGGAAGGCCGAGGUAAAGACAGUGUUUUGCCUCGUGAAAGCACACGAUGUCGAGGAUCGGCUGCAAGUGGCAGGAGAUGGCGGUGGAGGGUGAGGAGAUGAGGCACGUAGGGUCGGGAAAGUAUCCGGUGCUCCCAGCCUUGGAGUACUCCCGGUACUCCAAUGUCAAUAAACAUUUUUUUAAUAUUUCAAAAAAUUCCGAAAAAAAUUAUGAAUGUUCAUAAUGAAUGUGACUACAAGCCCGAAAAGUUUCAGGUCCAAACUCGGAUCACACAUUGAGAAACAAAAAUGUGAAAUCUAGGAUGAAUAGUGUAAAGAAGAGACAAAAGCAACAUUGAUACUAUUCAGAUCUGUAUUUUUCUUUUUUUUUCUCAAUGUACAUUUUGAUGUUGGACCUAAAUAUUUUAUGGGAUGUAGUGACAUUCCUUGUGAACAUUCUCAUUUUUUUUCUGAAUUUUUUUGAAACAUUUAAAAAUGUUUUUGACAUUGGAGCACUGGGAGUACCCCAAGGCUGGGAGCACUGGAUACUUUCCCACAUAGGGUCUUCUUAAUACCAGGUGCUCUAGGAUGCCUCAGUUUUGUAAAAGGCAAUUGUAAGAAUGGGCAUAUACGACAAUUAUGCAAUACGUCGAUAUGCGAGAGUGGGAUAACGAUGUUUAUUAAGUAGUUACACGCGUGCAGAACUACUAAUUGGGUGUGUCGCCGACCCUUGAUGGGUGGUAUAUCAUAGUGGUAUAUCAUAGUGUAGCCUCCGGUAUAGAUUGAGAGUGUCGAGAGAAACAAAAGAUGAAUAUGGGGAAAAUGGAAAAUCAAGAAUCAAGAAAAACAAAAGAAGGGAAAUAAUAGAAAAGGAACAAGAAAAAACAGGAAAAGAUGGAAACAAAUAUGGGGGAAAUGCGUCGCGUGUAUUGGACAGGGCCAGCAACACAAGCGGAGCUAUGCCAUCUCCCGCAGUGGGUGGCUUACAAGAUUGAGUAAUGGUACAUGUACGUACGAGCUCGUGUUUAUGAAGAUUAAAUACAAGAUUUGUUGGAAGCUUACGAUUGUUAGAAUUGUGUCGAAUAUUAUUGUACAAGGUAGGUUAUAGUUGGACUUGGUUUUAGACUAUGUGUAGACAGAAUAGGAGUUGUGUCCUAAUAUGACACUUGUAUCCUAUGCCUCUCAUAUAUAUCGGGGGUAGACACACGAUGUAACCUAUGCCAACAUAAUAGCACGGGCACGCGGGGGAGCCGGCGGCGUGUGCCGGCGCCCAGGCGGCCAGGGUGCGGUAUUGUAACGGUGUCAUGGAAAGGAGCGCCCGUAGUCAUGCCCCGGGGGUGUAGCCAUAUCGAUGAACCUCGUUAACAAAUCUCGGUGUCGUGCUGGUGUGAUUUCUUGAUCCUCGAUAGAUUGAUGGAACGACUCGGAUUUAUUCUAACAAAUGGUAUUAUGAGCUAUGGUUGUGAAGAGGCUGUUUGAUUGAUCUAGAGAAGGGCGACGAAGGACGUCUGAUAACUCGGCCAUGGUGGUCGGAAGAGUUUUCGAUGGACGUGAGAAUUGUUGCAGGAAAAGCAAUCGGAAGUGGCAUGCAAAGAACGCGAGCAAGCAGCCGGCGCGGGUUUCUCUACCUGAUCGAAGUCGUAUGGUGAGGCGGCGGCCAAGGCAGGCAGAUGGGAGCAGCAGGAGUCCGCCUGCAGCGGCGACAUCAAGCUGCUAGAUCGGGCGUGCGGGGCAGGGCAGCAAGGCGUGCAACAGAUCGGAUCGAGAUGCGGCGGCGUAAUGCUAGGGCAGCGAUGCAGGUGCAUGCGCAACCAAAGCAGGAGACGGUGCUAGCGGGCCAAGGCGCAGGCAAGUUUCCAGGCGCAUAGACGUGCGCGCGCUGAGGCCAAGGCUUGGCAGGAGCCAGCGGCAGGGGUACGUGGCAGUACGUCGGUACGUGAGGCUAGGAAUUGGAGCUGGCUCGUUGACGUGUGGCACGCGAGGCAACAUGUGCAUGCAAAGCUGGAGCUGCGUGUGAGAUUUGUUUGGAUUAAAAAAAGAGCACGAGUGUCUAGGCUUCACAAUUGAGAUACGAGUUUGUGUUUGUGUACGUGGGCAGCUAGGAGAUGGAUUUUUUUUUCAAGUCUUUGUUGCUAGAGGUACAUGGAGAGCACACGCAAAUUGUGACGAGCAAAGAUAAUUGUGCAAAGAAUUCUUGGGGUCAGGUUUGCAUGAAAGUUUUUUUUCUGUCAAGUUUGCGAAGAGGGCUCGAAGAGUGUGUGAAGACGAGGACAGUGUGUCGUGCGGAUCAUGCAUACACAGGGCGUCAAGCAAGACACGAAGAUGUGCGGGCGGACACGACGCAGGGUGGAGUAUGGUUGCAGUUGGAUAGUUUCGGCUGAGUCAGAUUGGACUGUCUGACGGAUCGACAGGAAGACGGCGGUGAUUUCGGCGACGACGACAUAGGAGCGUGAUGCCGAUGGUGGCCGACUUCUGGGGCGUGGAAAUACGUGGUGCAGGUCUGAGGGCUUGUGCGGCUUCGACAAGACUAUGGCGCAGGGUUGAUUCAAGGAAGUGUACACAUGAGAGCUUGAAGUCGACAGGGCGCGGGGUAGCACGGCCAGCUACAUGGAGUCAUGUUGAAGGUGGAGCUGGAGUCUAACGUAAGACUUCAAUCUGUGCUGAUGGAGGGGCUACGGUGUAAGAUAUCGGAGAAUCGAAGCCUAUUUCAGUGGGAUAGCGAGAGACACGUGGAUCGGACUGGGGCCCAAUGGUCUGAUGGAGACGUGAUACUUGACAUCGGUCGGUGAUGAUCGGUGGUUCUCUGCAGUGGGGGUUGAGGCAGUGUGGGCUAGCUACCCGGGAGACUCGACAAGGACAGCAGAGGCUUGACGCGGUGAUAGCGGCGAGGCGUGCGGUAAGCACGGGACACAGCGACGGACCAAGGCACUAAUGGUGAGACGUGUGGUCAGACAAAGUGUGCAGGGGGUGCUGAAGCAGUGUUGACGAGUACCGGAUUCAAGUUGGUGACUGGGUCUAUCGGUGCUAGUUGAUGGACAGGAGUUGACCAUGGAGAAUCUGAGAAAGUGGCGGAAAGUCUGGAUUUGUCAAAACAGAGAGAGUACAUGGCCGUAGAUUCUGUGGUGUUCGGUGCACAUGGCAAAGUGCGGAUGACAAUACAGAUGGAGGCGGAGUGCUAUAGUUGUGGGACAUGUCAGAGACUAUCUGGGGAAAAGGGUGGGACAACUGUGAAUUUGACUCAAAGUGACAUAGGGCGAUGGUGAAAUUCCUUCAAGUUUCAGACAGACGAUCAUGAAAGAGCGGUGAUGUUGAGUUCAGGUAACUCUUAUAUGUGACACCCAAUAUGUGAGUUGUUCAUUUUCACGCAGAUUAAUGAUCAGUGUGUGAUGGCGUUGAGCGGAUACUCUGAAAGUUGGGAGCACAAAGUAGAGUAACGAAAAACUUAAUUUUUGCUCGAGUGUUGACUGUGAUGAAGACGAGAAGGGACUACAGUUGCAGGUGGAGUCACAUGGAGUCUGGAAGUAGCAGCGGUGCUCAUGGCGUAUCUCAAGUCCAAUAUACAUGGAGGUUCGACGCAUGAAUAAAUUCAAGGUGGUGGAGAAUAUUCGCCAAGGUGGAGUUUGUUAGAAUUGUGUCGAAUAUUAUUAUACAAGGUAGGUUACAGUUGGACUUGGUUUUGGACUGUGUGUAGACAGAAUAGGAGUUGUGUCCUAAUAGGACACUUGUAUCCUAGACCUCUCAUAUAUAUCGGGGAUAGACACACGAUGUAACCUAUGCCAACAUAAUAGCACGGGCACGCGGGGGAGCCGGCGGCGUGUGCCGGCGCCCGGGCGACCGGGGUGCGGUAUUGUAGUGGUGUCAUGGGGAGGAGCGCCCGUAGUCAUGCCCCGGGGAUGUAGCCAUAUCAGUGAACCUCGUUAACAAAUCUCAGUGUCGUGCUGGUGUGAUUUCUUGAUUCUCGAUAGACCGACGAAACGACUCGGAUUUAUUCUAACAACGAUUAGGGAUGAACCCCACUCUGAAUUUCCCGGUGGGGGCAGGGAUUGUUAUCAACGAAGGGGCACCAUUCUCCUCGUAAUAGGCUUGUUAGGCUUGAGAUCCUCUGCAAUACCAUACGGUGUUAUAGUACGGAUGACAUAUGGGUUCAGGUCUCAUAUGGCAGUGACUGUACUACAUCGUAUAGUACCGUAGAGGAUCCUAACCCCUCUUAACAACCCGGUACGUCUAGGAUUACUCUUACCUAGGGGAUGAGUCCCACNNNNNNNNNNNNNNNNNNNNNNNNNNNNNNNNNNNNNNNNNNNNNNNNNNNNNNNNNNNNNNNNNNNNNNNNNNNNNNNNNNNNNNNNNNNNNNNNNNNNNNNNNNNNNNNNNNNNNNNNNNNNNNNNNNNNNNNNNNNNNNNNNNNNNNNNNNNNNNNNNNNNNNNNNNNNNNNNNNNNNNNNNNNNNNNNNNNNNNNNNNNNNNNNNNNNNNNNNNNNNNNNNNNNNNNNNNNNNNNNNNNNNNNNNNNNNNNNNNNNNNNNNNNNNNNNNNNNNNNNNNNNNNNNNNNNNNNNNNNNNNNNNNNNNNNNNNNNNNNNNNNNNNNNNNNNNNNNNNNNNNNNNNNNNNNNNNNNNNNNNNNNNNNNNNNNNNNNNNNNNNNNNNNNNNNNNNNNNNNNNNNNNNNNNNNNNNNNNNNNNNNNNNNNNNNNNNNNNGCUUAAGAUUACUUAGGGGAUGAGCACCACUCUUAAAUUCAUGCCGGGUGGGGUUAUUAACGAAGGGGCACCACUCUACCGUAACAACCCUGCACGUCUAGGAUUAUCGUAUAGGAAUCGGGGAACGUGUAAUACAUAGUUGUUCGUGUGCUUCAAUUUUUUCUUAACAUCGAGUAAAAAAAGUUUUCACAUAAAAUAAUCGAGCAUGUACACUCUUCUUGUGAAAUUUUGCGUGAAGUACCUACUUCAUGCCAAAUUUCCCAAGAGUGUACAUCUUCACUCCGUGUACAAGUGUAAUUAAGUAGGAUCGACAGUUUUUUUUUUUGAGAAAGAUCCUUGCCUUUGCAUUCCGUGUGCUCCAUUUUUCUCCUAACAUUGAAAAAGAGUUUUCUCGUAAAAUUAUAGAGCACGGGUCACUUCAUGCCAAAAUGUCACAAGACAAGUGUACAUCUUCAUUCCGUGUACAAGUGUAGAGGGUUGAUAGUAAUUCACCUUGCCUUUGCAUUAGAAAUUGAGGAUUCAACCGUCGUCACAUAUGUAGAAUUGUAGAUGCAUGCAUGAUUCGCUGCUGCACAUACUUUGAAUUUGAAAUACAUGUUUCAAGUGCUGGUAUGAUAAUCGGUACUGGCCACUGCUUCUGGGGCUUAUUCGUCGACGUAUCGUUCUGGCGAGCUGCCGACGUGUAGCCGUAGGUCAAUCACGAGUUCACCUUGGAGCAGCUGAGCCUGAUCUGGCCCUGCGUCCCGGUGAGCGGCGCGAUGUUUCCCAUCUUGAUCAUGGCCGUCGUGAAGGCGCUGCUGAAGGCCGCCGCGUUGGACGCAAAGUUGCGGACAGUGUUGUCGGUGGUGUCGUUGUUGAAGAGCACCUGGUCCGAGUGCAGGAGCCCUUUCUGUGACAGGAGGUUGGUGUAGUAGGCAUUGUCGAACGCAUUGGGCGUCAUCGUGUCCAGGUUCGCCAGGUUGGUGUUGCCGCCGGACUGGGGGCAGUUGGCCUUGAGAGACGUCGCGAAGGCAGUGUUGAUGUUGGUGUCACCGCCAUAGAUCCGAGUCCGGAAGUUGGAGCACUGGGCCUUCCCGAUGGUGUGCGCGCCUGAGAGCGCGACC
rnacentral:lncRNA from 1 species